UAUAGCCACCAUCAUUUUUGUCCUCAAUAACACUACACUUUUUAUCUAGAUCUUCAUCUUGGCAUUUUGUGACCAAUGGAGCUCCACAAAGAUUAGGGUUUCCAACAAAGGCCGACUCAUUGAAGGUUGUCAUUUGCCCUAUAAAGGGGAUCUUACCAGAGAAAUUAUUAUUCGAUAGAUUCAAAUAACUCAAGAAUGUUAAUGAAACCAUGCUUGAAGGAAUGCUGCCGGAAAGCUUAUUCCUUGACAAAUCAAGAGAUAAUAACUGGUGCAACAUUGAAAUGCUUUCAGGAAUUUGGCCACUGAUGUGAUUCCCAGACAAGUUCAAAACCACCAAACCAAACAAUUUUGUUAUUUCUUGGGGAAGCUCUCCACUUAAAUUAUUGUCGGAUAGGUCUAUGCCUACAACCAAAGAAAGAGUCCUGGUGUAUGCAAGACUUUGACCUUUCAUAAUCACCACCAAUCGUUCUUCAUACUGAGAGUUUCUCACAUUGUCAUACAAAGGAUAUAUAUUCUUGUUAUACUCCGGAACCAUGGCUUUAAGCUCAAACAAAGUGACUGGAAUUUCACCCAUCAGAUUGUUUUGUGCAAGGUCUAAGACAUGUAGGGAGCUUAAAUUUGAAAGCUGGGAGGGAAGUCUUCCAAAAAAUACAUUUGACCUCAAGUUGAGUAUUACAAGAUUUAUGAAAGCAGUUCCAAUCCAUGAAGGAACCUUACCCGAUAACUGGUUAUAACUGAGAUCAAGGAGUUCCAAUCUUGAUAAAUUUUGGAAAGAUGAGUGGAGCUCUCCUGAAAGCUUGUUGUCGUUCAGAUGCAAUGAUUCGAGCCAUUGUAACUGGCCCAACGACUUUGGUAGCAUCCCAGAUAAAUUGUUAUUUCCAAGGUCAAGAACAAUUAGGCUAGAGCAAUUACCUAUGGUAUAAGGAAUGCUUCCAGUCAAAUUAUUCCUUGAAAAAUCAAUGAUUUGAAGAGAGGUGAUUUGUCCUAUGGAAUCUGGGAUGGUCCCUGUUAUUUGAUUUUCCGAAAGGAAAAGGUAAUUCAAGUCUAACAUAGAUUCACCUCUGCUCAGUGGGAUAGGGCCAAAAAAUUUAUUGUGUGAGAGAUCUAGUAAAUAGACCCCUUUGAUUGAAAAAGGAAUAAGUCCCUCAAAGAGGUUGGAACUGAAAUCAAUCUCUGAUUCACCAUAAAAAUUUAAUGAAUUUGGUAGCUGACCUUGUAACUGAUUGUUGGAAAGAUUCAACAGUUGUAGAUUAAAAGAAAUAUUCCAAAACCACUUGGGUAUGGAACCUGAGAUGCUAGCAUUUGACAAAUCCAGAAAGGAGACCUUCUUUUGAGAUCUAAGCCAAGUUGGGAAUGAAGGGCCUAAAUUGCAUGAAGCCAUACUCAGAAAAGUGAUUUGGAAUGGGGGGACCCAGGUGGAACUAACAUUCAAAACGAGACCUGAAUUUCCACCUAUCCACAGAAACUUCAGCUUACUCAACUUUGAAAAAUGUUCUUCAGAAAGAAUUCCUGUCAAGGUAUUAAGAGUAUUAAAAUAAUUUCAUUUAUUUAUUUAUUUUAUGAAAAAUAAGAAAUUUCAAGAGAAAUGAAUUUUCAGAAAAUGUAUAAUAAAUCAAAUGAGUGGAAAAAAGAUAAUUUAAAAUAUUUUUUAAAAACAAGUGUUUACAUGGAAUCAAUAUAUACACGAUUACCAGAAGAAAAUUUUAAUGAAUUUGGUAGCUGACCUUGUAACUGAUUGUCAGAAAGACUUAAUUCCCGCAGAUUGAAAGAAAUAUUCCAAAACCACUUGGGUAUGGAACCUGAGAUGCUAGCAUUAAAUAAAUACAGAUAGGAGACCUCCUUUUGAGACCUAAGCCAAGUCGGGAAUGAAGGGCCUAAAUUGAAUGAAGCCAUCGCCAGAUCAGUGAGUUGGAAUGGGGGGACCCAGGUGGAACUAACAUUCAAAACGAGACCUGAAUUUCCACCCAUCCACAGAGUCUUCAACUUACUUAACUUUGAAAAAUGUUCUUCAGAAAGAAUUCCAGUCAAGCGAUUCCCAUAAACUUCCAAUACAACCACUUCAGAAAGUUGUCCAAAACUAACUGGGAGACUCCCAUUCAGUUCAUUCCAUACAAGCCGCAUCUCAUUCAGAUUUUUGAAUGUCCCAAAAGAAGCAGGGAUAGGGCCUUGAAGCUUGUUCCUGGAUAGAUCCAAAUAUGUAAGUUUUUCCAGCUGACUCAACCGUUCUGGCAAUCAGCCCACUAAUUGAUUCGAGGACAAGUCCAAAUACCCCAGUUCUGGUAAAGGACCUUCAGAACUGCAGUUUUUGAUCUCUUCGAGAAACUCAGAGAAACUUCCUGCAAUCAUCAUCAAGAGUAUUAAAAUAAUUUGUUUUUAAUAAAUUGUUUUAUGAAAAAUAAGAAAGUUCACGAGAAAGGUAAGAAACUUUGCCGUCUUAAUGCAUUAUCAAAUGAACGGAGAAAAGAUAAUUUAAAAUAUUUUUAGAAACAAGUGUCUACAUGGAAUAAAUUGAGAAUAUUGUUUUUAGAAAUUAAAAUUUCCAAAUAAAAUUUUGUUUCAAAAUAUAAUAUAAUAUUUGUAAAAAUUAUUAUAAAAAAACUCAAAAUUUGAUUUUGAAAAAAUAUUUUAAAAAGGUUUACAAGAAACAAAAUACAUUAUAAUAUUUGUAAAAUUAUUAUAAAAAACUCAAAAAAUGAUUUUAGAAAACUAUUUUAAAAUUUGUUUACAACCAAAACCUAGAUUUUGUAGUGUAAUCUUUCAAAUACAUCAAAAGCCCUAAAAAGUCCCCUUUAUUGGUCAAUUGUGAAUUGAAUUUAUGACAAAUCAUGCAUCAUCAAGAGUAAAAAAUAAUUUAAUUUAAAAUAAUUUUCAAAAAAAAAAGAGAGAGUUUAUGAGAAAACAAUUUGAUGAGUGGUGAGAAGAUAAUUGAAGUUGCUUUGAUGGUUUAAUGAUAAAAGUAAGAGAUUAUUAGAAAGUCAGAAUAAUUUAAUGCAAAAUAUUUUUUAAAAACAAGUGUUAAACUGUAGAACCACUACAUUAUUUUGAUGUAUCAAAAUCAAUAAGCAAUAAUAAUUUUUCUAAGCCAAAAACGUACCAAGAAAUUUAUUUUUUGCCAAAUUCAGAAAUUCUAUCUUCUUCCAGCUNNNNNNNNNNNNNNNNNNNNNNNNNNNNNNNNNNNNNNNNNNNNNNNNNNNNNNNNNNNNNNNNNNNNNNNNNNNNNNNNNNNNNNNNNNNNNNNNNNNNUGUUUUUAAUAAAUUGUUUUAUGAAAAAUAAGAAAGUUCACGAGAAAGGUAAGAAACUUUGCCUUCUUAAUGCAUUAUCAAAUGAACGGAGAAAAGAUAAUUUAAAAUAUUUUUAGAAACAAGCGUCUGCAUGGAAUAAAUUGAGAAUAUUGUUUUUAGAAAUUAAAGUUUCCAAACAAAAUUUUGUUUCAAAAUAUAAUAUAAUAUUUGUAAAAAUUAUUAUAAAAAAACUCAAAAUUUGAUUUUGAAAAAAUAUUUUAAAAAGGUUUACAAGAAACAAAAUACAUUAUAAUAUUUGUAAAAUUAUUAUAAAAAACUCAAAAAAUGAUUUUAGAAAACUAUUUUAAAAUUUGUUUACAACCAAAACCUAGAUUUUGUAGUGUAAUCUUUCAAAUACAUCAAAAGCCCUAAAAAGUCCCCUUUAUUGGUCAAUUGUGAAUUGAAUUUAUGACAAAUCAUGCAUCAUCAAGAGUAAAAAAUAAUUUAAUUUAAAAUAAUUUUCAAAAAAAAAAGAGAGAGUUUAUGAGAAAACAAUUUGAUGAGUGGUGAGAAGAUAAUUGAAGUUGCUUUGAUGGUUUAAUGAUAAAAGUAAGAGAUUAUUAGAAAGUCAGAAUAAUUUAAUGCAAAAUAUUUUUUAAAAACAAGUGUUAAACUGUAGAACCACUACAUUAUUUUGAUGUAUCAAAAUCAAUAAGCAAUAAUAAUUUUUCUAAGCCAAAAACGUACCAAGAAAUUUAUUUUUUGCCAAAUUCAGAAAUUCUAUCUUCUUCCAGCUUCCGCUUAACAGUUGAGAGCAACUACCUGUGAGAUUUCUGUUCCAAGAUAGAUCCAAGUGCUGCAAGUUAGGUAGUUCCCCAAGGCCAAGUGAAAUUUGCCCAUAUAACUCACUAGAGCUUACAUCAAUGUAUACAAGGCUGCUAAUGUUUAGAAGCCAUAUUGGGAACUUUGACCGAAAAGAGUUGCCACUGAUGCUUAUGACAGACAAUGAAGUAAAAUUGAUAGAGUUUAGAGAUGAAAUUGAACCAGAGAGCCCACACUGUUGUAGGUGCAACUCUGUUAAAAAUGAAAGCUUGUUGAAUACCUCCAUCCAGUGAGAUCCUACCAUUGAUAGGUUGACAUAGUUCAACUUGAGAUGCCUUAAGGAAACAAGAUUAGUCAUCCAUUCAAGGUUCUUAACAAAUAACUGAGAUUCAAUGGAAGAAAGAUCAAGAAAUUGCAAAUUAGAAAGGUUUCCCAAGGUUGGAGGAAUUGCACCUCUGAAUCCACAAUUUGAUAAGUUCAGAUAUUGUAAACUUUUCAAAGAUCCGAAGAAUUUAGGAAUUGGGAUAUGCUCAAAUGAGUUGCCACUCAAAUCUAAAGACCUCAAAUAUUUGAGUUCUAUCAAAGAAGGUCGGAUCUCCCCGCUUAAGUUCAUUGAACUCCAAUUUUCAUAUGCUUCUUCAAGAUAAUAUGGGUUAUGAAGAUCGAUUGAAAUAACAACUCCUGUGUUAUUUUCACAACCAAUUCCCUCCCAUUGACAACAAUUGCCUCCUAUCCAUGAUGAAAGCCGGUUGUCAGAAGAAUCUUUGAGACCAUUUUUGAAGUCAAGAAGAGCUUCUCGAUCAGCUCUUAAGCAAUUUCCCUCAAGGGUUUCACCCUUGCAAGCAAGAUCUCUUGUUAUUAAACAUAGAAUGACCAAAAGGAAACCAAGAAUUGAAAUUUUCACCAUCUAAGAACACCUAUAAAAACAAGUAAUUAAUAUUAAGUUCCGAAAGAAGAAUCAAAAUAGUGAUGAAAUUUGAUAAGUAAUCAAAACUUCAAGUUAUUGGAUAUUAAAUAACACAUAGAUUUUAAUCAAUCAUAAGUUAAUAAGAUUAAAACAUGUCAAAUGGAUGGCAUACUUGAACACAGAUCCAUAUCAAACAUGGUCUGAUGAUUGUUGCUUAUCAAAACUAUAGAAAUCACCCACAAGAGAAGCUUAGAAGCAUUAGGCAGAGGAAAACACUAGAGACAACUUGGCAUUAUUGGUAAAGUAAAACAAGACUAGUCAUCCAUUCAAGAUCAUUAACAUAUAAAUCAUAGGAUUCAAAAUUAACAAAUAAAUCAAAAGAUUCAUGGCUAGAAAGAUCAAGAAAUUUCAAAUUAGAGAGGUUUCCCAAGCUAAGAGGAAUUGCACCACUAAACCCACAAUUUGAUAGGUUUAGAUAUUCUAAAUUCUUUAACUAUCCAAAGAAUUCAGGAAUUGAAAUAUGCUCAAAUAAGUUUCCACUCAAAUCUAAAUAUCUCAAGGAUUUGAGUUCUAUUAAUGAAGGCCUAAUCUCUCCACUCAAGUUCAUAGAAGUUUCAUUCUCAUAUGCUUCAUCGGGAGAAUGUGGGUUAUGAAGAUCAACUGAAAUAACAACUCCUAUUUUAUUUUCACAAUCAAUUCCCUCCCAUUGACAACAAUCGAGCUCUCUCCAUGAUGAAAUCUGGUUGUUAGAACCUCUGAGACCAUUUUUGAAGUGCGUAAGAUCAUCUUUAUCAUUUUUUAAGCAAUUUCCCAAAAUGGUCUCACCUUAACAAGUAAGUUCUAUUUUUAUUAAAUAUAGAAUGAUCGAGAAUUGAAAUUUUCUCCAUCUAGGAACACCUGUAGAAACAAGUAAAAUUAAGUUCCAACACAACAAGAAAAAUAGUGACAAAAUUCAAUUAGUAAUGGAAACAAGACAUUAGACAAUUAAUAACAUAUUUAAUUUAACUAGUCAUUUGUUUAAUAAGAUUAAAAAUUCCCAAGUAAACAACAUAUUUGAAUACAUGUCAAAUAAAAUAUAAUUGAAAUCAUCCCAACAAAUAUCAAAUAUGCUUUGAUGAUUGCUAUUGAUCAAAACAUUCCAACUAUAGAAAUCACCUACAAAAAAAAAAAAAAAAACUUGAAGCAUUAGAUAGCGAGAAACACUAUAAAUAACUUGGCAUUAUUAGUGGAGUAGGAUCUUACCAAUUUUUUAUUUUUUCUUUCUGGUGUAGUCAUUCCUUUGGAUGCAGAGACAUAUAUAGAAGAUAAUUCAACUAGAAACCAUGUGGAUGAUAGUGAUAGACUCCUUUCAUUUCUUUUUAGCAAUAUUUUUAAAAAUAGACUAGACCAACCAAUUGAACCGAUUCAAUUGUUGACCAAUUCACUUUCCAAUUCAAGUGACCUUUUCCAACCAUUUUGGGCUUUUUACUUAAUUUAAAAAGUUAACUGAUUCAAACUUUUAACCCCUCCGACCUAACUCACACUGUGAAAAAAUAAUUAAAUUAAUACUUAAUACUUUUAAGUUGUAUUUAAAAUUAAGCUCUAUUUAUAUGUAACUUAAAAAUCUCCAUCUUAAUCUAUUAGCUCUUAAUUUUUUAAAAAAAAUAAAAAAUACUUAAUCUAUCAUGUUGAACCAAACUUUAACUUUGCAUGAUGUCAAUAAUAAUAAUAAUAAUAAUAAUAAUAUGCACAUAUAAACGAUAAAGUCAUUACCUCUAUGAAUUGGGUCAGGGAAAAAUCUUCCUCAAAAUAUCACAAUCUUCAUGUUGUCUUAUCAAUAUGUAUACAAGUAAAACCAAUAAGUUUAUAAGUAAUGUUUCACAAUCUUAUAAAAAAUUAAGGGAAAAAAAAUAAAAUAAUCAAUAACACAUCAAAAAACAAUUUUAGCAUACCACCCCAAAAUAAAUAAAAUCUCUUAAAAUUUUGAAAAUUUCUAUUAUAAGGUUAUUAUUUCGGAUAGAAUGACCAUGCCCAUCAAAGUUGGGUUUGCACUAAUCCAAUCCAAUCAAUCAAAUUAACUAUUUAAAGUAAUCCAAAAAUUGUGGCCACUUUUUAAAGGCACUUUCGUCAUGUCAUGUCAAGGGAAAUUUAAGGACAUUAUUUUCCUCAUUCAUUUAUUCAAGGUUUAUGCCGUGUCCACCAAGGUGGCCAUUUUUUCUUCAAUCAUUUUUAAUAUAUUUUCUUUCAUAUCUUGCUACCUUAUCAAGAAAAUUUUGCAUUAGCUUGACUUUGACUCCAUGUUUGGGUCGUCUAGAUUAGGGCCCUAUAAUUGUCUAUGACUUGUCAAUUGCAUUUUAAAUUUUACAAGACUUCAAUGAAUAUUUGCAAAUAAUAGAUAUUUUAUAUAUUUUAAUUUUUGUUGAAAAUAAUUUUUUUUUGGUAAAAAGAAUUUUACACUACCAAUUCAUUUCCUCACAUGGAAGUGCUAGGAAAAAUUUUAAAAUUACCUAAUCCAUUUGGCGCUUUUACAAAGUAUAUGAACUAGUGGUGCUUCGAUGAAUCAAUUGCUUUAGAUUAAUUAAUUUUCAACCAACUGAAUUAUACAUUUAGAUAUAAGGUAAUUUGGGUAAGUAACAUUUAAUAACUUCAUAAUUUCUUUAUUUAAAUCUUAUAAAAUAUUUGAGAAGAAAAUAAAAAAGUUACAAAUUAAAACCACAAUGAAAAAUAGUAAGAAAAAAAAUAAACAAUAAGAAAACAAACACAUAAAACAUGAUUAAUGUAGUUUGCCCUAAAGCCUACAUUCACAACUGAAGAUAAAAAAAAAAAACUUCCAAUAUUGUUUAAGAAGAUUAUAAUCCUAUAACUCUUAAAUCCUAAAGUCUAAACUAAUUAUACCAAGAAAAAUGAUUAUUUCUUAUUUGUUAAAAUGUCUUCUCAUAUUUUCUUGAUUGGAAUAUUUAAUAUAAGGAACUAAUUAUCUAAUUAUUAGAGAUACAUAAUAUUUGUAGAGAUAUUACUACUAAUUUUCCUUAUUCUAUAAAAGGAAUCUAAUUAUAAUCACAUGAUAUGAAUUUAUGAAAUAUUUUAUAUAAAGUGGUGAGGAAUAUAUGUGGUAGACAGAGAUAUGAGAAAGAGUGAGAGAUACUUGGUGGAGUUAUAGAGGGCUCAUUAGGGUGUAGAUGUGAGAAAGAGUAAAGAAUAUUUGGUGGAGUAAAAUGAGAUGUUUUGACACCCAAUAGUUGUAUCUAUUUCUAUUCUCUGUACUCUUUUACAUGACAUAGUAGAAUGUUAUUUCUCAUCUAUUAAGGUAGGCAUGGUUAGUCGAACCUUUGUGUGUGGUUUGCUUUAUUUUUAUAUUUUUCUUUAACACAUCUAUAUUGAAGUUGUUGUUGGCCCAAUAAGUGAUAUCAAAGCUUCCGAUGACAUAACAAAUAUUUGUUGGGAAAAUUGAAACACCUAAAUACAAAAAGAAAAAAAAAAGUGAAAUAAAAAAAAAGACAAAAUAUUUACCUAGUUCAAGAUAAUCGCCUACAUCCAUGGGAAAGAAAGAUCAAAUUAAUUAAUAAACUUUACACACUUCAAACUUUCUUGACCUUUCUUUAUCCAAAACUCAUACAACUUUUGACUAUCUCUAUUCACUCCUUGCUCACUUUUUCCUUCUAUCUUAAAAUAAUAUAUAAAACCACAUAUAUAUAAAGUCCUAAUCUUGAUCAAGCUUAAAAGGGUAUUUUACCCAAAUACAAACUCUACAAAUAUUAAAUUUUCUCAAAAUAAAUAUAACUAAAUAAAUUGAGUCUAUAUAUAUUAAAAGACUUUUUUUUCUUCUAAACCCAAGAGACCAAGUCCCCUGAAAGGAGUAGAUAUCAUUUUAUUGAAUUUUCAUGGACCAAACAUAACUUGCUUGUACAAGAAGGUAGAAAAUUUAUGACAAUGAAGAAUUUUCCACAUUUCCUUUCAUUGAAUUCCACAUCCAUAACAAAUGAAGACAUUUUUGUCAUGUCAUGUCAAGGUAAAUUUAAGGAUAUUAUUUUCUCCAUUCAUUUAUUCAAGGUUUAUGUCGUGUCUACCAAGGUGACCAUUUUUUCUUCAAUAUUCUGUCAUGUCCUGCUACCUUAUCAAGAAAAUUUUGCAUUAGCAUGACUUUGACUCUAUGUUUGGGUCAUCUGGAUUGGGGCCUUGUAAAUCGCCUGUGACUCAAAAAAUACAAAAAUAAAGACUUAGAAACUCAUGUCAACAAAUUUUAACAAACCACUCCAUAAUAUAUGAAAUUUCUUAAAAAUUGUAUUUUUGUAAUAAUAGUUCUAAGCUUUUUUCCCCUUUAUUUUAAGAAACAUUUGAAAGUGUCAAUUGCAUUUUAAAUUUUACAGGACUUUGAUGAGUAUUUGUAAAUAAUAGAUAUUUUAUAUAUUUUAAUUUUUAUUGAAAAUAAAUUUAUUUUGGUAAAAGGAAUUUUACACUAGUAAUUCAUUUCCUCACAUGGAAGUGCUAGAAAAAAUUUAAAAAUUACCUAAUCCAUAUGGUGCUUUUACAAAGUAUAUAUAAUUUAGUUGUACUUCAAUGAAUCAAUUGCUUUGGAUUAAUUAAUUUCCAACCAACUGAAUUAUACAUUUAGAUAUAAUGUAAUUUGGGUAACUAACAUUUAAUAGCUUCAUAAUUUCUUUAUUUAAAUCUUAUAAAUUAAAUAUAUAUAUAUAUAUAUAUAUAUAUAACUUAUUAUAAACAAGUUGGAAGCAUAUGCUCAUUCAAGCCUUCAUUUUUCCUUUUCGAUUUGCUAUAAAGUUGAUUUUCUUUCCUAAAGAAUUAAAUAUUUUAGAAAAUUUUGAAAAGAAAUUAAAGAAGUUAUAAAUUAAAACCACAAUAAAAAAUAAUAAGAAAAAUAAAAUAAUAAAAAAACAAAAACAAAAAACACGUAAAACAUGUAAAACACGAGUUAUGUAGUUUGCCCUAAAGCCUACAUUCACAAACUUAACAAAGAUAAAAAUGAACUUUUACUAUUAUUUAAAAAGAUUAUAAUCCUAUAACUCUUAAAUCCUAAAGUCUAAAUUAAUUAUACCUAGAAAAAUAUUUUUUUCUUAUUAUCUAAAAUGUUUUCUCAUAUUUUCUUGAUUAUAUUGGAAUAUUUAAUAUAAGGAAUUAAUUGUCUAAUUAUGAGAGAUACCUAAGAUAUUUUCAUUAUAAUUUGCAUGAAAAAGCCCUAUAAUAUUAUACUAUAAAUGUAAAAAUCCACAAUAAUAAAUCAUAUUAAAAGCCUCACUACAUCCAUAACAGCAAUUUUUGAAAUUAUUUUAAAAUAUAUACAAAAUUGAACUUCCAAUAGCAUCAAACAAACUCGUAAAUAUUUCUCUCUCCUACCUUCUUAAAAUUUUUGGUCUACGCUUGUCACCAUGUCAAGUCAAAAUCAUGUUUAAUUUUUAGCCAAACAGAAAAAGACUUGAGCCACUAUCUUCACUUAAACGUUAAGUUUUAAUGGAGACAGAUGAAUUAUGGACCACAUAACAUAUUUUGUCAUCUUGAUGAGUUGUAGGUCAUGAACCAAGUUGCUUGAAAAGGACGGUAGAGGACUAAAAUAUUUCCUCACAAGAGCCCUAUAAUAUUAUAUCUUGAUGACUUCCAGCAAGUCAAUACCACUUUCCCCACAAGAAGUCUUCAAUGGGUCGAAAUUCAAAAUAAAUGAUUCAUCUAAUGUGAUGGAAAUAGGAAUAAUUUGCAUGCAUUUCUUUUACUUUAUUUAUUUGCCAUAUCAUAACUCAAACUGUUUUUUAUUUUUUUUUAUCAACUUACUGUUGCACUAUUCAUUUAGUUUAUCUUAUAGAAAUAUAUACACUAAAUAAUAAUAAUUUCAUAAAUAAAAAAGUCACCACCCAAAAUAUAUAAAAAAUUAAUGUUUAUUUCUAAUUUAUUUUUAAUUCUGUCUAUACCAGCCCUAGCUGCUCUCCAAGAAUGGGCUUCAGAACACCAAAGAACCAGCCCAAUAUGUAGGCUUAAGAGAGCCUUUUCAUGGGCUGGAACCCAUGUAGGGGCUAGUCCAACACCGAUAAUAAUAUAGGAUUAAAAAAAUUAUUUAAUUGUAAUCAGGUCAAUAAGAUCAUGGUGCACUAUAAAAACAAAAGUAAUUAUUAUCCUUUCCUUUCUAUGAUUUACAUGAUGUCUUGCUUCAUGCGACUACCUUCUUGAAAUAAAAUUUUAAAAAUGUUGAAAUAAGAUGUAAUAAAAAGAAAAUAUUUUAAUGAACUAAUUUAUCUAAAGCUAAUAUUACAAUUCCAUAUUUUUCAUAUCGUGACUCCAAAAAACUAGGUUUGUUUUUUCUAAUAAAAAAAAUGUAUAUAUUUUUUAAAUAAAAGGCAUUGACUUUGGUUAUAACAUUUCGAUGUCUAAAGACAGUAUAACAUAAAAAAAACAAAAGUAAUUAAUGAUUAACAAAGAAACUAAUUAUUAUUAUUUUUUACCUUUUAGGCAAAGUCAUACUCAAUAACCAACAAUGACUUGUUCAUUUUUUAGCACCCUUUCUUCUUCCAUUCUUUCAACAUUUUCAGCCUCCUUGCCUUGCUUCAUUUAACAUCCCCUCCUCUUCAUAUUGAUAUAUUGCUCCUUCUAUCUCUUUCAUCACAUCCUUGUACUGAUUUAACUUACACCCCUCCUUCAAUUAUCACUUCUUCUAGCACUACAUUAGUUUCAUUAUCUAUCAAUCUUUCAAUAAUUUCAAGUGUUGGUUCCUUAUAAACGCAUUGGUAUUUGACUCUAAUUAUUUAUUUUUUAUUUUUAGGAGAGUCAAUAUUUAUAGAGUUUGUGUUUGGGUAAAUUUUUUGAAUUUGACCAGGAUUAGGAAACUAUUAGUUUAGGGUUCAACCCAUAGAACUUUAUAAAUAUGUGGUUCUACAUGAGAUUUCCACAAAAGAGCAAAAAAAGUGAGCAAAGAGUGGAGAGCGUAUUAGGUUUUGUGUAAAGAGAGGUUAAGAGAGUUUGAGUUUCUAUUUUUUAAAUUUAUUAAUAAAUUUGAUCUCUCUUUCUAGUGGACCUAGACAAUUAGGUCGGACCGUAUAAAUUUUUUAUCUUCUCUCAUUUACUUUAUUUUUUCUUGUUGCAUUUGAGUGUUACAUGUGAUUUUCCUAACAAGUGUAUCAAAGCUUUCAUUUUCUUAAAAAGUGCUAUCAAAGCUCCUAUUUUCCCAAUAAGCCAUAUCAAAACUUUUGUUUUCCCAACAAGUAGUAUAUGAUAAACAUCAAGAGUCUCCACCAGAAUAGCAACUAAUUUGUUAGAUAGUUAAUCUUAGAUAGGUUGCAACUGAUCUAUUAGAUAGUUACCCUUAGAUAGGUUGUUGAACCAAUAGUUUGUUAAAUCAUUUUUGAAAUAGCUUGUAUAAAUAGCUUGAUAGUAAAAGUUCUUGGCAUGUUGUUCUUGGUUGAUAAUAUUUUAUGGUAUUAGAGUUGAGUUUUUCCCUCUAAUCAUUUCCAGAUUUGCUUUCUUCCUUCUUGUUGGCUUGAUUACAGUCGUUCUCUUCUCUCAUCAAAGAACACCCACCGUCACAAGGCUACUUCAACCUAAUUUUCCAAUCCAUAAAACACUCUGGACAUAACUUCCUCACAAUCUCUUGGCUUGGUUCAACCAUUGCAUAUGUUGAAUCAUCCUCUUCCCAUCAACCACCACUAGUGAAACCAAUCUAGACUUCCUUACUUGGCGACAUUUUUAUUGCUUGAUCCUGAGUUGGAUCUACACUUCCCUUACUCCCGAAAUUAUGGGACAAAUAAUUGGAUAUCAUACUUCUCAUGCAACAUGGACUGCUCUAGAGAAGAUCUUCUCCACCUCAUCAAAAGCAUAAGCAAUGUAGCUUCAGUUAGAAUUUCAAACAGCUUGGAAAGGCUCCCUCCAUGAUGGAAUACAUACUCAAGUUGAAGAUUCUCAUUGAUUAACCUUGCUACCAUUGGAGAGUCGGUAUAAAAAAGAAACCAAAUCUUGAAACUUCUUGGCAGUCUUGGAGCAGAUUACAACUCCAUAGUUGCAUCCCUUAUAGCUCGUGAAGAUGAUAUACCCCUACAUUAGUUCACAACAUUUUACUCACCUAUGAACAAAGACUCAACUUUUAGAGUUCAGUAAUAGAAAACGAAGUUAUCUCUACUCAUGUAGCCACACAAGGACAAUUUGCUCACCCAAGAAGAUACCAGAACGGGGAAACUAACUCCUACUUCAACAACCAAAUUAGCUCCCACCAUCAUCAAGGAAGAGGACGUUCAGGUGGCCAUGGGCAAGAUCAUUGAACAAAUCUUAGUGGCAAUGGUAGUAGACCUCAAUGCCAACUUUGUGGUAAAAUCAUAGGUUUGGUAUAAAUUUUCAAGGACCUAAUCCCUUGCCUACAAAUCCUCUCAAACCUUCAUCAAGCACUCCUAAUAGCAAUGAUAUACAAACGAUGAUGGUCUCUUCUUCUUUAAUCUACAAUGAAUCUUGGUUUCUUGACAAUAUUAGCUAGGGCAACGCACCAUCUCUCCCUACGUGAUAAUACUCUCACAAACACUCAUCCAUACCACGGCAAAUACAAAGUCACAGUUGGAAAUGGUAAGAAAUCAUCCAUCUCACAUGUUGGCUCCAAGUCAUUUCAAACUCCUCACAAGUCCUUUCAGUUACGAAGCAUUCCUCAUCUUGCUACAAAUCUUAUCAGUGUUCCUAAAUUUUGCACUAACAACAAUUUAUUUUUUGAAUUUCAUCCUACUUUCUUUCUUAUUAAGGACUGGAAUACAAAGAAGAUUCUUCUUGAAGGAAACAUUGAGCAUAGCUUGUACAAAUUCCCCAAUAACCACAUUGGUACCUCUUCAACAUUCUUUCCUUCUAGGCACUUAGCUCUCAUUAGAUAAUAAAAUAAGAAUGAGCUAAUCAACUGAUGAAUUUAACAACCAUCUUAUUAAAGAAUAUAUAUAAUUACCCAGAUAGUGUGAUGGCCAAAUAGGAUAGUCUGAUGGAAGAUGGUGACAACCUCUCUUUUUUUUUAACAUAAAGCAUAAUAAUUCCAAGUCCAGGAUACUUUUCUUCUAAUAAAGUGCUUGCUUUAAACUUUCCUUUUGAUAAAGUUUUUGCUUUAAAGUUUAGUUACUUUUAGAGUCAUGUGGUCUUGUCCUCUUAUACAAAAUCUUUUUCUUACCCAAUUGCAAGAAAUGAUAUGAGAUAAUGAAUUAAGAAUGAACUAAUCCAAUUAUGGAUCAGCAACCAUUUUAUUAUAUAUAUAUAACCUAUUCUAAUCACCCCAUUACCUAGAUAAUGUGAGAGUUAUAGCAAUUAAGUAAUUCGUUUAAUGUUAAACUUGAUUGAUAAUUAAUAAUCCUUCUAUAAAUUACCUUUAAAUUAGUUUUAUAUUAAUUAACAUAUUUUUCUAUCUUAAUUUAUAAAAAGCUACUCAAUCAAUCUCAUUAACUCCACCCAAAAAAUACUACAUUAAGUUACAAAAGAGUUUGAAUUACUGAUUAUCAAUUCUUUUAUAUUUCAUCCAAGUUGUUGAGUAUGACACCUAGCCCCCUACAAGAUUGAAUGAUCUUAGAAUUACUAUUUGAUUAUGAAUUAAAUGUUUUUAAAUUUGAUUCUUAAAAAUUUUCUCUAUUAAGCUAAUAAUUUGAUCAAAACUAUAAGGGAGUUGGGUUAAGACUAUAAUAUUUCACUUAAGUUGUUCCUCCUCUAGACUGAAGUGGAAUAACUUUCUAUGUGUUAGGAGACCAAAGAAUUUGAUUAAGAUUUAAGAAUCCAAACUUCCAGUUGACGGAGAUUCUAUAGGAGUCCUAUGUUUAGGUAAAUAAGAAAGGGAGAGUUUCAUGAAAGUCUGAUAGUUGGUUGCACUAAAUUUUGGUAUUUGUCACGUUCAAGCUUAAGAAAAUGUUGGAUUAAUUCGAGGAAAUCCACAGCCUCCAAUACUCACUGAUUGCAACUGUUUUGAUACCUUUCUCAUUAACAUGAAAGACGUUGUUUCCUAAGUGGGUUGCGGGAAGAUAUUUGGUUUAUGGUACGUAUGCUUAAUCCUUCAAAUUUACAUAUUGCUUUUGGUUUAGCAAAAAUGCAAGAAGAGAAUGUGGCUGCUCUUAGAAGAACUGCAAAGCUAGGAUCAGUUCCUACACGUUUGGCUAUUGGGCCUCCGAGCCCACCUGAAAAAAGGGCCAUUGUUCCGGUCCAAAGAUUAUCACCUAGCCAAAUGAAGGAGCGACGGGAUAAGGGACUUUGUUAUAAUUGUGAUGACAAAUGGGCCCCGGGGCAUAAGUGCAAAUCAGCCCGACUGUUUAUCAUGGAGUGUGAUGAAUCAAGUGAUGAUGAGGUGCCCAAAUCUGAAGUUGCAGAAGGGCGUGCGAGCAAGUCUAAGGAGGAAACGCCUAUAGUGGAGAUAGAACCCGGAAUAUCUAUCCAUGCAUUAGUUGGGUCACCAAACCCAAAAACAAUGAGAUUCUUGGGGCACAUUUGUGGAAGGGCAGUAGUAAUCUUGGUUGAUACGGGAAGUACACACAAUUUCAUGGACCCAUCUGUUAUUCAAAGGGCUCACCUACCAUUUAAUCCAACAGAAGGGCUCUCUGUCAAAGUGGCUAAUGGGCAAGCAGUUCGUAGUGAGGGGAGUUGUGCAGCAGUAUCUCUACAUAUGCAGGGUAAUCUCUAUACCAUUGAUUUUUACAUUUUGACCCUAGGAGGAUGUGAUAUUGUUUUGGGUGUUCAAUGGCUUCAAACCUUGGGACCUAUCCUUUGGGAUUUCUCAAGACUUCAAAUGGAGUUCUCAGUUUGAGACAAACCUCGAAAACUACAAGGUAUGUCACCAACUGGUAUCUCAUUAGUAGAAGGAGAAAAAUUUGGUAAAGUUUCUAGGCAAAAUAAAAGAGGAUUAGUUAUUCAGCUUAUUGAUUUUGAAAAUUCCAGUUUGCUGUCCAUUGAAAAUUCUUGUGAAAACCUGAGUGUCCUCCUUGUGGGCUACUAUGCAGCAAAUAAAGAAUUUGUUCUCUCAACUCCUUUGAAGCUGGAAUAUACAAUCUUCCUUUGUAAAAUAAUAAUCCAUCCCUUUGUUUAUAAUUUUGGGAUGCAAGACUUCCUUGUUCCAAAUUUUUAAUAAUCUGCUGCAAUUUAGGAUCUAUAGCAUAACUUGUUCUGAGUUGUUCUAGCCAAGUGUUAGCUGGUGCAGUAAUAGCAUAUAGCUUCCCUUCCUUCUGAUCUUCCAUUUUUCUGGACAGGGCAUCAGCAACCUUGUUUUCCUUUCCUUGUUUGUAUUCUACCACAAACUCAUAUCCCAAAAGUUUGGUAAUCCAUUUUUGCUGAAGAGGAGUACCCAUCUUUUGUUCCAGCAAGUACUUGAGACUCUGCUGGUCCGUUUGUAUCUUAAAGUUGUGUCCUAAAAGAUAAGACCUCCAUUUCUUCAUUUUGAAAGUAAGGGUAUCUAUAAGGCCCUACACAAACUGGUUUUGCACCUGAAUGUAAUACAAUAUGGUGGUCAUGAUUUCGAGUAGGGGGCAAUCCUUUUUCAAAAGGGCUGUUAAGGGGGCUGCUAUAAGUCCAUAUCCUUUGAUAAAUUUUCUGUAAUAUCCAGUUAAACCUAGGAAGCCUCUAAGGGAUUUAAGGCUGGUAGGAAAGGGCCAGUUAAGCAUUGCUUCAAUUUUGGUAGGAUCAGCUUGUACCCCAUCUUUUGAGAUUAGAUGACCAAGAUACUCAAUUUCAGAACAUCCAAAACAACAAUUUCAGAACAUCCAAAACAACACUUAGAUUUUUUUGCAAAAAGCUGGUGCUGUUUUAAAAUGUCUAAAACAGUUUGUAAAUGAUGGACAUGGUCAGCAAGGUUUUUACUAUAGACAAGAAUGUCAUAAAAAAAAACCAAUAUAAACUUUCGUAAAUAAGGUUUAAAGAUGUCAUUCAUAAGACUUUGGAAGGUUGCCGGGGCAUUGGUAAGCCCGAAAGGCAUUACCAAGAAUCCAUUGAAACUUCUGCUGAGCCACUAAUAUAUGACCUUCUUAACCUAUAUCCAGAAGUGUUUUCAGAACCCAAAGGAUUGCCCCCUACUCGAAAUCAUGACCACUGAGUUUGUAAGACUCAGCCAGUCCUCUAAGUUGGUUUGAAAGAGCCUCAAAUUGGCUCUUAUAAUCUUCCACUGUUGAAGUUUGCUUUAACCGAAUAAGAGCUUCCAUGGGGUCUUCAUAAGGUGAUGAUCCAAACCUUGUCUGAAGUGCACGUACAAAUCCCUCCCAACUACGUCUGAAGUGCACAUACAAAUCCCUCCCAACUACUAAUUCCCCCUGCAGCUUCAAUGUCCUGGAACCAAACCAAGGCCUUCCCUUCCAUAUGGAAGGAUGCCAAUAGGACUCUGUGAUGUGGAUUGGUUUGAUGGUAAUUGAAAAAUUGAUCAGCUCGAUAGACCCACCCACUGGGGUCUUCUCCAUUAAAUUUAGGAAAAUCCAACCAUACUGCACGAGUCUGAAUUCCCCCAUUAUCUUCAAGAAGAGGGUUAGUCAUUUGUCGUUUAGACCCUUCUGAAUCACCUGAAUUAUGCUUAGUCUUCAUUUGCACUAAUGUCUGCACAUUGGAGGCAACCACUUCUAAUUAAUGGGCCAGCCCUUCAACCACUUGUUGCAAAGAAUUAUGAUUUUGCUGAUACUGCUCUUGAUUUUGUUUGACAGCUGCCAAAGAUUCAGCAAGCUGGGAAUAUCUGGUACCUGUACCCUCAGCCAUUGGAACGACCUGGCUCUGAUACCAAUGUCACGUUCAAGCUUAAGAAAAUGUUGGAUUAAUUCGAGGAAAUCCAAAGCCUCCAAUACUCACUGAUUGCAACUGUUUUGAUACCUUUCUCAUUAACAUGAAAGACUUAAAUACAACUGAAAAUAACAACUGACUCAAUCCACGACGCUGAUAUUCAGCUAACAACCCAACCUAAAGACCUAUUCUUAAGCCAAAAUACUUGGCUGUGAAUUAACGGAUGAUGCCCACGUACAAUUAUUGGACCCAAAUAAUUAAAUUAAUCAACUCAACAUGACUCUGACUCAACCAAAUUAAAUAAUAAGCAACCAACAAAUUAAAUAAUAAGCAUUACACAACUGGGCCCCAAGUGCACAUGACAGUAUUGUUUUAUAUUUAUAAGGUUGUUCUAUUGGAUUCAUCAAACCAUUGUGUGGAUCUACUAACAAAAGGGAGAGCCAAUUGAUCUCUUUAAUUUGUUGGAUAUUUCUACCUUUUUAAUUUUGAGUUCAUAGUUGGCAAAUCAUAGUUGUGCAUUUCCACCAAUAUUUAGAUUUUUUUUAUUUUUCUUUUUUAACUUUUGAUCAAAGUUAUGUAGUGGUUGUAUUUUUUUUGGCAAGAUUUCUUAUGCAAUGAGUAAUCCAACUUCGGUGAUAUUUUAAGUUACCAACCAUGCUAAAAUCUUCAAAGGACUCAAUGUUGAGGUGUAUCGGCUAUAAGGGAUUGAGAAUAAAGGUAAAAUACCAUGUGGAAGAGAUCGAUGAAUCAAAUCCUAACAAAAGUGGGAUUUGAUUUAUAUAAGAAUAAAUUUUGUAUUUCUAUUUUCAUUCCAAAAAAUAAUAUAUUCAAAUAUAAAAUGAAUGGAAAAUGAAAUAAAUUUUUCAAAAGAUUGGUAUCUUGUUGGAUUAGAGUUCUUUGUUUCAUAAAUUUUCUCUAUCACAAGUUGCCAACAACAAAUGGAAGCCGUCCGCUAGCCUUAUAUAGUCUAAGCAAGGUUUUGGCUCGUUCGAGGGUUGACUCGAUCAAGAAUAAUCAACCUAGUAGUUAGAUCAAUUAACCAAUUGAAUCAAUUGGGUUUGGAAUGAGUGUUGAUUGUUUUUUCUAUAACUUCAAAAUAACAUAUCAUUUUGCUCCCAUCCUAGACCCAAAAGUUGAAAUUUAGAUAAAAUUUUGGGAAAAGUCCAAAUAAAUAGAGAUGAUGUUGGAAUAUUGAUCAAUUUUAAUUUUUAUAUUUAUAUCUAGUUAUUUAAUUAUUUUAUAUUAUUUAAAAAAAUUCUUAUUCAAUAACCAAUUCAACUUUAAGAACAUUGAUAUGUACACCUCCAUGAUUUUAAUAUUCAAUGGAGUUUAUUUUGUUCUUGUUGUCACUUUUGCCAUCAAGUAGAAUUCCUAUGAGAACAUUUUUGGAUUGACUUUUGAAAAUCAGCUAUGGUUUUAAGUCUAAUAAGAAAGCAUGUUCAAUUAAUUUUAGAAGAAAUAUUUAGGAUCUUUCUAUAAAAAAAAAGUACUACUCAAUACCAUAUCGAAAAGCACCAUCCUAUUAUAGACAAGAAAGUCUUAUUCCUUUAUACCAUAAAUGAACCAAAAAAAAAAAGUCUUAUUGCUUUGUGUCUUAAAAAUAAUCUCUUUUUUCUUUUCUAAAUCAAAGUCUCAUUUUUUUUUAAUUUUUUUAUUUUACCUUCAUCAUCAAAAAUUCCCAUACCAUUCAAUACUUUAGCAUUUUGAAAGCAAAGACAAAUGCUUUCCAUAGGAGGCCUCUUCUAAAAAUUUACCUAAAUAUUUUUUCCUCAUACUUUCUAUAACCUAAACCAAGUCUUUAGGUUUUGAAUUCUAUAAACCCUAACAAAGGAAUAAAAUUUUCCCUCAUGGUUCCUAUGAUUCACAUUGAGUCUUAGGUUUUCAAUUUCUAGAAAUCCUAAUGAGGGGAAAAAAAGUAUUGAAUAAGAAGGGGUUUAAAUUUCCUAAAAACCCUAAUGAGGGAACAAAGUGUCAAGCUAGAAAGGAAGAAACUUGUUCCCUCGCUCUUUCUAUGACCUAAAACCACAAUACCAAGCAAAAUGUGAAGUUGAAAAGGGAAGAAACUUUAUUACUUCGAACUCUCUAUGACCAGAACCAAACAUUCGGUUUUCAUUUCCUAAAAACCCUUAUGAGUGAUACAAAGAUUUGAAUCCUCAAAUUUUUUGGAACAAAGGUUUCCCUCAUAGUUCCUAAUUUCUAUGAUCCAAACCAACUCUCAAGAUUUUGAUUCCCGAAACCACAAUGACCGAACAAAAUGUGAAAAGGGAAGAAACUUUAUUACUUCGAACUCUCUAUGACCGGAACCAAACAUUCGGUUUUCAUUUCCUAAAAACCCUUAUGAGUGAUACAAAGCUUUAAAUCCUUAAAUUUUUUGGAAACAAACAUAACCUUAAGGUUUCAAAUUUUAAAAACCUAUAUGAGGGAACAAAGGUUUCCCUCAUAGUUCCUAAUUUCCAUGAUCCAAACCAACUCUCAAGACAAUGACAAGUUGAAAAGGGAAGAAACUUCAUUAUUUCAUACUACCCAUGACCGGAACCAAACCUUUGGUUUCCAUUUACUAAAACCCUAAUGAGAGCGAGCCUUAGGAUUUCAAUUUCCAAACAUCCUAAUGAGGGAACAAAGUGUAAAGUUGGAAGGGCUCUCUCAUCUAACAAUUCUAAAUGCUAAGGUAGGCAAAGAAAACUAUCAUUUAAUUGCAAAGAAACAAGGAGUACAAGAGAGCAUACACGGUUCAAGCCAAGCCUUCUUCAAUUACAAUAUCUAACCCAUCUACAAAUAUUCUUAUAUAACAAUUGUGAAGAUUGAGUCUCAUUUUGAGGUAAUGACAGCCCAAAUCAUUGUUAUUUGGUCAGGAUAACAAGUAAUGAGAGAUAUUUUCUAAGAUUUCAGGAAUCAAAGUUCAAAAGUAAAUGCUAAAAAUGCAAAUAAGUCAGUCUGAAGUAGGGAUUAGUGAGUUUGAAGAGUGUACUUACAGGUGGCUCAAAGACAAGAAAUGGAUGAGAAGACCAUCGCUUCAGUCCAACGUAUCCUGACUCUAUGCGGGAGUUCUUUUCAAAUGCUUGAAAUGUCAAAUGACAGCUUUGCUGUCCACACUUCUUUCCUUAUUUUAACCCACACUUCUUUCCUUAUUUUAGCCUACAAUUGUUUCCUUAUUUCUCCAUUUAUUAUUCUGUACAGUUAGCAUAUAUUAUUUGACAGAUUAUAGUUUACAUGUAUAGGACUAGAAUCAUGAGGGAAUUUAUUUGUUUUUAUUUGCUUUCCAUGUAUAGCAUCCUUGUAAAGUCUAUAUAUAAUAUACAAAACUCAAGGCCAAGGUAUUCGACCAUUCAUACAAUAUUUUGACAUGGUAUCAGAGCUUGUGUUCUGAACCUAGAGUUUACACGCUUUCUAGUUUUUCUUUGGGUUUUCUCGGAUUUAGCCCUAGGGGCUCUCGGAUUUAGCCCUAGGGGCUCUCGGAUUUAGCCCUAAGGGCUCUCGGAUUUAGCCCUAGGGGCUCUCAAACUCUAGCCCAACUUUUUGGUUCUUUUUUUUUUUUUUUUUUUCUGGUGGUUGUGACAACACAUCUGUGAUGUGAUCUUGGAGUUUUCUUUGGGUUUCUUCGAUUCUAGGCUCUUGGAGAUCUUCGAUUAUUUGGAGGUUUGUUAUCAGAUUUAGGCACUUUGACGAUGUUUUUUUUUUUUUUUUUUUUUUUGUUUCCUAGGCUAUUUCUGUCUUCAUAAUGUCUGGAGAAUAUUCUAUUGUUCGUUUCAAUGGCAAAAACUAUCUUAGUUGGGACUUUUAGUUUAAGAUGUUUGUGAAAAGUAAGAAGCAAGACAGAGUCUCUAAGUCAUCUACGGAAUCUGAGUACCGGGCGAUGUCUCUUGCUUGUUCUGAAAUCAUUUGGCUUCGAGGUUUGCUUGCGGAGUUAGAUUUUUCUGAGACCGAUCCUACACCUCUACAUGCCGAUAAUACAAGUGCUAUUCAGAUCACGACCAAUCCUGUCUAUCAUGAGCGCACAAAGCAUAUUGAAGUGGACUGUCACUCUAUCCGUGAAGUCUUUAAAGCUCGUGUUAUCACUCUUCCACAUAUUUUCACUGACUUACAAAUUGCUGAUAUCUUCACCAAGGCUCUCCCUCGUCAUCGACAUUGCUUGCUAAGUAGCAAAUUGAUGCUUGUUGAUCAACUUGCAUCAAUUUGAGGGGGGCUGUCAAAUGACAGCUUUGCUGUCCACACUUCUUUCCUUAUUUUAACCCACACUUCUUUCCUUAUUUUAGCCUACAAUUGUUUCCUUAUUUCUCCAUUUAUUAUUCUGUAUAGUUAGCAUAUAUUAUUUGACAGAUUAUAGUUUACAUGUAUAGGACUAGAAUCAUGAGGGAAUUUAUUUGUUUUUAUUUGCUUUCCAUGUAUAGCAUCCUUGUAAAGUCUAUAUAUAAUAUACAAAACUCAAGGCCAAGGUAUUCGACCAUUCAUACCAUAUUUUGACAUGAAAUAUGUUCCAACCCCACUCUUGGUAUGUCUUGUUGCCAGUUAAACGCCAGAGGUAAAACAGUGAUUCAACUGUCUCGGGCCUCAAUAUGUUCCAUGAUGUACCCACACUCAUAUCCUGUAAAUGUUUUAGAUGGAAGUGAGAUUGGGCAGUAAAAGAAAUAACUAGUAUAUAAAAAGAAAAGAGAAAAACUAACCUGCCCAGAGUGGAAGAAAUAGUUCUCUCGAGCCAAUUUUGUUGGUGUUGACUGGUAGAAAUUAUAGCAUGUCCAGGCAAGCUGCAAAAAAUAUGCCAAGCAAUUCACUCAUAGGAACCACAUGAAAAGCAUCCAAAUGUUGGAAAAGUAAGAGAAAACUCAGGGAGGGCAGAAGGAAUCAUUACAAUUCCUUCCCUUAGAACUGCAUGUGAAAUUUUCAUCUCAUAUGGCUCUUUCAUUAUAUGCAAAAUGAUGAUAUUACAUGGAAUAAAUAAAAAAUUGAAAUACUAUCAUUAUAAACCGGGUAGGGCUUGUGAUUUUACAAGAAGCCUCUAGCUUAUUAAGUUCUUAAUGUCAUGGGAACAUCAAAAAAAUCAGUGGCUAGUGCUAAUGGAGACCAAAACAAUGCUGUUCUAAAGCUUGAUAUUUCCCUUAGGGCUUCUCCUUGGUCUGCAAUUGUCAUUUUGGAUGUUGAUACAAUAAAGUCUAGGGAGUUGACAUUUUUAGGUUCAAUUAAUCCUACCAUUAGUAUAUGCUUAUCCAACACCUGAUUUUAUUGGAUGGACACACUUGAAGACAGUAAGCCUAGAUGACUUACCCUAUAUUUCUAUUAAUCAUGGUAAUUUAUGAAAAAAAAUUAAGCUAAUGAAUAUUCUUCUCUAUUGUUCACCUUGAGAACAAUCAAUUGUUUGCUCAGUUGUCAUAUCAAUUCUAUAAGUUUUUAAAACUUGGAUAUCAAUUCUAAAAGUGCUUAGUAGUUUUAAGGGUCUCUAACAUACUACAGGGACUAGGGGUUGCACUAAUCUUAUUUUGCCAUUUAGCUCCAUCGAAAAAAAAAAUAUCAUAAACAAAUCAUUGAUGAUGUUCUGAAAAUGAUUCUAUGCAUGUAACCAAAGAGGUCUUCUUUGUCUUUGAGUGGCAUUUAAUUUUUGUGAAGCAAAUCACACAUAUACUUCUGUUGAGACAAGAAUACAUCAUCAAAAAAAGGCUUCACUUCUACUCCAAGAAAAUUGUUCAGUGAUCCAAGUUCCUUAAUUCAAACUCUUAGCCAAGACGUUCAAUUAAAAUUUGAACAAAAUCAUCAUUACUCACUAUGAGAAGAACAUCAUCCAUGCAUAUGAGAAUAAUAGUUGUAAUAUCAUUGGUGCGAUAGACAAAGAGUUAAUUAAGCAUUAAAUUUGUUAUAAUAGAAGCAAGUUGUAGUAGAUAUUAAGACAGUUGAUCGAACCAAGAAUGAGGUGCCUACUUCAAUCUGUAGAAAGACUUUUUAAGUAAGAACAUGGCCUUGCUUGGUGGAAUCAAUGAACCUCAACGGUUGCUCCAUGCAAACAUCCCUCUCAAGAUUUUUUUGAUGUUCCCAUGACAUUAAGAACUUCAUAAGCUAGAGGCUUCUUGUAAAAUCACAAGCCCUACCCGGUUUAUGUGUGGAACACUCUCUAGUGUUCAUGUUCAUGCAAUCAUGCUACAUAUUUAAGUCAAAUAAGGAUUUCAGCAGAAGCCAAAUCACAUCAUGAUGUAUGCAAAAAUCCAACCAGUAGAAGGUCAAUUUUAAGUCAGCGUCAAACCAAGUCAAGUAAAAACUCCAGGUCAUUGUUGAGUAAGCAAGCAGCAGCAAUUACAUAGUGAAAAUGGUAAAUGCAUUCUAUUUUCCCUCAUGCCACACAACUAAGAAACAUAAUUUCCACACCUAAGCCCAAGACACAUUUUAUAACUUCACACAACUCAAAAUAGAAUAAUAAAUCAACAGAAGGCAAUAAUAAACAAAUAAAUAAAUAGAUAAAUAAAACAACUUUCCAAUAAAUAGUGACAAAAGAACAACCAGAAACCAGACACUUACUCCAGUCCAUCCAGGGUUAUGGGCAUUUCCAUGUGCCAAGUUAAUAAUGUUGUAGGGUAUCCCAGAAGGUGUAUUCCAGGCAGGCAGCAACCUAUCUGCAGUAUCUCUGGCUUUUUCAAGGAAAAGUUUGUCCUCUGAGAGAUCAUAUGCACUAAGUAGUCCACCGACAACUCAGGAUUUCAAUUAAAAAAAAAAGAAAAAACCAAAAAUGAUAAGUCAAAAAUGCAAGAUUUCAAUCCCGAGUUCAUCUUAGAGAUUGCAGGGUCAUCAUAGCCCAUAACUGGUCUUCCAAACAAGAGAAAGGACAAAUUAAACAAUCUACAUAUUAAACCUUAUAAUGCAACCUUUGGUCGUCUCAAAAACGCUAGCCUCAUAAUUCUUGUUGAAAUCCAAUGAGUUUGCAACCCACCUGCCAUGAAUAGCACAUUAGUAUUAAGCAGGAAAUUGAAUUACCAAAACUACAAAACAUGAAUACCAUAGGCAUGUAUUUAACAUGUGCUAAGGAAAAAAAUUGUAAUUUAAGAUCUUCAGAGAGAGAGAGAGAGAGAGAGGAGUAAACAAUUGAAAUAGGUAAACAAGGACUAGAAAAUCAUUCUUUUGGAGGAAAGCAAAUAGAAUUAAUUAGAGAGAAGGCUAGUAAUUAAUAAAAAUCAAGAAAAGAAAUAAUCUAAAAUAAAGACAACAGGAUUCCAACAAAUGAAAAGAGAGAGAAGAGAGAGGAGCCCUUCCAAACAGUGACCUUAGUAAACUAUGGAAGCCUCCUAAUGCUUUUUCUGGUACUAUGAGAGAAAAAGUAAAACAAUGUAACUGCUGCAUUAAAAAGAGAUAAAAUCCUAGUAAUUGAGACAGACGACAAUAGAAAGCUAAAACUCACUCUAAAUCUUUGGAAUUGCUCAUCUAGUCCCAUUAUAUAUAAUGUAUCAAGAGAAUCAAUUAAUGUUGCUCCAAGACCUCCAAAACUAUUAACACCAUUCUUGGAUUGUGGCUCUUAAGGAAAAAAAAUUGCAUGUUAGUUGUAGAACUUGAAUAAAAUGAAACAACAUCAUAAACACUAUGGAAAUACAAAUGCCACAAAUCUAGGAAUGUCCAUAAAAUCAUAGACAUCUAGUUGCAAAAUUGAAAUUUAAUUACUCUUAAUGUAAUUUGAUUAUUUGAGAGUUCCCCGGAAAGAAAUGAAUUUGGGAUCUUGUAACAGGUGGGUUUUUAAAGUAGUUAUAAAAUUUAAAUUUCCUUUUUCUUCUUUUGAUUCCUCAACAAUCCAAUAGAAAGAGCAUGAAGACAUCCUACAGAGUAAGCACAGGAACGGGGUCUUAAUACUGAUAAUACUCUUAACAUAUUACAUAUCUUUUGAAGCUCCAGAUGCAUAUCUAUAUAUAUAAGGUGAACCUUACAUGUAUGGUUUCCUCCCCAUCAUUGUCCUUCAGUGAUUUAAGAUUGAAGUCUUUUAAAAGCUUUUGAUGAAGCAUUUGUCAGAGUUGUCUAUAAAAAAUAUAGUAUUACUUCUAUUCUAAUAUGCAACCAUCUUUGAUUCAUAGAGAGAUUGAAAAUUUUUGUACUAAAACUACAAAAUAUAGGAAACAAUGUAGCAAAGAGUUUUCUCAUAUUCAAAAUUAUGAUUAUACCGUCUUUUGCAUUGCUAGUGGGGCAUUGGACAUAAGUACAAGAGCUAUAUAUGUAGACAUAAAAUAUAUGUGAUGAAAUAAUUUAGAAAGAUUCACCAUUUGAUCCUAUUCAAACAACCAAAACAGAAAGAAAAGUAGAAGACGAAGAAGAAGAAAGCAAAACAAAACAAAUCAAAAAACUAAAAAUAAAAAAACAGAUCAAUGAAACCUGAAGUUCAUUUUGUCCCCACGCAUACUUCUCAUAUGAACUCUAUGCAUGAAGCAUAGCAUCUUUUACUUUCUCCCUUCGCUGAAUGUCAAUGGGGUCAUCUGAAACAGUACUUUUCUUGGAGGAUUUACUAUUUCUGCCACUGAGGCCACCGACAUUCCCUCCAAUACUCUUCAAUUCAUCCAGUUGCCAAUAUAACCACACAUUCAGUCUACACAUACAUGUAAUGUAAUACCAACGGUUUCAAAAUGAGAGUAAAGUAAUGACAAGUCAGUAGACAGAGAACCUAAAUCAAUGGGAACAAGCUACAUGGAGGCAAAAAACUCUCAACUGUUUUCUAGGAAACUGGAGAAAAUAUAAUUUGGGGAACUUGGAGAAAAUAAAAUUUGUCUGAGUAUUUUGAAUUGGCCAAAAAUUUGAUUGAAUUCACACUGGGAAACAUAUAGCCUAGAAAUUUUCUAAUUUGUAAACAAUAGGUAUAGUAUUCCGGAAAUUAAAAAAACCAAAAAAGAAAAUAACCAUGGCAUGAACUGCUAAGCAUAUUCUAAUGGUUGAAGCUGGAUGACAACCAAAGAAUAAGCAUUUUAAAUUUCUUACCAAAUCUUGCAAAUGGACCAAUUCUGCAUUUAGCCUGGCAACCUCAAUCUGCAAAAUCCACACAAAUUUCUUUAAAUAAAGGCAACUGGAGAAGCAAUUGUCCCUCAAAUUGAAACAACAAGCUUCAGUUUUUAGCAUAAAUUUUUACCUAGGUGAAGAUACUCAUUACUUAAAAGUUCAUAUGGAAACAGCUAAUUACGGAACACUAAUUUGCUAUUUUAGGAGGAAAAAGGCCUGGUGUACUGGGGUUGCACCCCUUAUUUUUGCUAGGAUCCCUAAUACAACCUUUUAUGAUACGAGAACUUCAUUACAAACUGAUGAACAUAAGCACAAAGUAUUUUUGCAGUAAACUGAGGCAUUGUCAAUGGUACUAUUGUGUAACUUUUAGAUAUAAAAAUAUAACUUGGGAAAGGAUUUACACCCUUUCCAUCUCUCUUCUAUUGUCUUUUAUUCUUUCUUCUCCUCUCUUCUCUGCAUCCAAAUCCUCAUAGCAUCUCCAACUCAGUAUCAAGUUGAUCCGGGUGUAAUCAUAUUAGAAACUUUAAAAUAGAAUUUAGCAAUAGCAGAUAACGGGAGAUGACAAUAAACUUCAUUUGUUACAUCAUAAAAAUUAAAUUACUUAUUAAGACAUUUAUUUUUACAACAGUUUAUGGAAUAAUAAAUUAGAAAAUUCUAAAAAUAUGUUACAAAGAUUCUUUUCUAGGCCAAAAACGAUUAAUUAGUAAGUACCUAACAAACGGAGGCGCAACCUAGGUGUAGUGGAAUACAAGGAUCACUCAAACAUCAAAAUACAUGGAAACACUGCCUGCUCACUAGCCUGGGAUUAAGGCCAAUAGGUCCUGGAAUUCCAAGCACAAGAGCACCUCCUAUCCAAAAUCUUCCUGAGCAUAUAAAUAAAUAGCUAACAAAAUUUCAGCUCUAACUCCAAUUGCCCAAGACCAUACAAAUGAGGUUUCUAAGAUUUGUUUCCUUCUUAUGCCAGUAUAUAAGGAUUGCCUCCAUUUAGGGAAUUUCUUGCAAUUCAAUUUAUAAAUAUAGUCUUGCACAAGUAUAUUAGGAAUGCCUUCAUAUGAGAAUUUCUUGCAAUCCAAUUUACACAUAUACCAAAUUAGGCUAGACAGCCACCAGCCACCACCUCCCUCUAUAAAAUUCACAUAUUCUAAAGAUGAAAAUUCCCAAGUUGAGAAAAAUUGUCUCAUGAUUAUCUUUUAUUCGUUAGAACAUAGUUUUCUUCUUUUUGCUCAUGAAGACAUAUUUGCGCCUCUUGGAAUAUUCCAAGGGCCCAACCAACUAAUUUCUUGCUACAUCUUUCCCAUACACCUAAUCUCUUCUUCCCUAAAUUUCUGUAUUUCUUGCCAUUAUCUUUUCUUACUUCAAUUUUCUGUUCCCAUGGCCUUUCGGUAGCAUUAUUUUCUUGAAAUUUGCAUUCAUUCCAUCCAUGUCUCUGUUUCACUUAGUAAGGUGAACCCAACCUUCCUAUAGUUUUUCUCUUCAAUCUUCUUGGUUUCAUCACUUCCCAACUGUUCUCCAUUUCAAACUGUUUUUGCUUUUCCCACGACAGGAGCUUAUAUUGGACCUUGAACAUACCUGUACCUCUACCUGAAACCAAAAUAGAUAGGAGGGGAAAGAAUAUGCAAGCGUAUGACCUCAUUCUAAGGAAUUCAACAAAACAAACACAAAACUUUGUAAGAAGAGGUGCCUUCUCAUAAAGGGGAUUGCAGUGACCAGUUACCAGAAAAGGAAAGCUCUAUUUUCCAGGCUCUCCCAUAGUUGAUACUUUGGAACCACAAGAAUUCUUACUAAGAAUGAGGAUUGAUUAUCUGAGAUCCUUUCUUUCUCAUCCUUUCUUUCAUCAAACAGGACAAAUAUAUAUAGAAUCAAACUGAACCCAAUAAAUGCCUAUUCAUGGAAGAAUAAGCUUCAACAGAUUGAAGACCUUCAAUUUCCCAUACAUCCACCUUUUUCAAGAACUAUCCCACUAGAACCAUCCUUCUACUAGUGCUCUUUGCCCAUCUAAUAUCGAUUCUCUUCCUAUUCCCCAGAGUCAAACUGAUGUCUUAACUAAUCUCCCAAGUUUGGUGAAAAGCUCUGGUAAAUAUACACAGGAACUGCGAAAAAGAGUGCUAAUAAAUCAAAAAAUAACUUUUCAAACAUUUAUAAUUAAUCAAAAACCAAACUAAAAAAAAUCAACUUACCUUCCCAUGGCUGCGUGUGUGAAUCUCUUCUCCAUUAUGAUGCGUCAAAAGUGACAGCGGCUUUUCUUAAGUCCAAUGUGCAGCUACUACCACUAUCGUAUGGUGUGUCCUAUGGAAAUCUUUUCAACUAUGUAUGGAAGUCUUUAUGUGGCUGUGUGUGGAGAAUUCUCUCCAGUGGAGUCCCGUGCAGCUGCUUGUUGUGGAAGAUGCCGCCCAAACUGUGGUGCGUGGUUGCCUCUUCUGUGUGUGCCUCUUGCAGCCGCGAUUGGUGGACUCCAACUUCUCCAAUGGUGUGCUGUGAUGCUUCUCGAAUUGAUGGUCCCUUUCCUUGGUGUGUGAUGCUAAGAGGGAUCUCUAAUGAUGCAGACUGUGUGGUUGUGAGGGUGGCUGUGAAGAAACUCGUAUUCGCGUGUAAGAGAAGGCCCCUCUUAUAAUGCGUGAUUGACUCCCUUAGCGGACUGUGCAUUCUUCCAAGAUGGACUGUCUCCCUUUUCAGGCUGCUGUGUGUUGGUGCUUCUCCAUGAAGAAUGCGGACUACAAUGAAACUUUAGUUUUGUAGUUCGACCAACUUCUAUAUGGUUAAUAAUUGCCUUUCCUCAUCAUUCAAACAGAAGAUAAGGUAACUUAACAUUAAAAAUGCAUUCUUGCAAAGAAACCUUGAGAGGGAUGUUUGCAUGGAGCAACCGUUGAGGUUCAUUGAUUCCACCAAGCAAGGCCAUGUUCUUACUUAAAAAGUCUUUCUAUAGAUUGAAGUAGGCACCUCAUUCUUGGUUCGAUCAACUUUCUUAAUAUCUACUACAACUUGCUUCUAUUAUAACAAAUUUAAUGCUUAAUUAACUCUUUGUCUAUCGCACCAAUGAUAUUACAACUAUUAUUCUCAUAUGCAUGGAUGAUGUUCUUCUCAUAGUGAGUAAUGAUGAUUUUGUUCAAAUUUUAAUUGAACGUCUUGGCUAAGAGUUUGAAUUAAGGAACUUGGAUCACUGAACAAUUUUCUUGGAGUAGAAGUGAAACCUUUUUUCGAUGCUCAACAGAAGUAUAUGCGUGAUUUGCUUCACAAAAAGUAAAUGCCACUCAAAGACAAAGAAGACCUCUUUGGUUACAUGCAUAGAAUCAUUUUCAGAACUUCAUCAAUGAUUUGUUUAUGAUAUUUUUUUUUUUCGAUGGAGCUAAAUGGCAAAAUAAGAUUAGUGCAGCCCCUAGUCCCUGUAGUAUGUUAGAGACCCUUAAAACUACUAAGCACUUUUAGAAUUGAUAUCCAAGUUUUAAAAACUUAUAGAAUUGAUCAAUAUGACAACUGAGCAAACGAUUGAUUGUUCUCAAGGUGAACAGUAGAGAAGAAUAUUCAUUAGCUUAAUUUUUUUUCAUAAAAAUUACCAUGAUUAAUAGAAAUAUAGGAUAAGUCAUCCAGGCUUACUGUCUUCAAGUGUGUCCAUCCAAUAAAAUCAGGUGUUGGAUAAGCACAUACUAAUGGUAGGAUUAAUUGAACCUAAAAAUGUCAACUCCCUAGACUUUAUUGUAUCAACAUCCAAAAUGACAAUUGCAGACCAAGGAGAAGCCCUAAGGGAAAUAUCAAGCUUUGGAGAAAGGUUGUCGUUGUCAAAAUUGCCAUAUAAGAAAGUCACUCUUACAAGGUAUGUUUACCAUAUAAUAAACAUGAUUAUUUAAUACGGUUUGGAAUCUGAAAUGUGAUUGCUUGAAACCAUCACUCCUUAAGAGGUUUUAAUUACUUUACCGAAAACCAAAGAUUCACAUUCAACAGUCCUAAAUCUGUAGAAACCUAAAAAUAAUCUUGACUAAAUUUGCAUAAUCUAGGGUUUUGAAUUCACCUUAUGAGAAUUUUAGAUUCCGUUGAGAACAACACGUAGGGAAACUAUAGAGGAUUUGUAUCAAAGGCAAGCAUCAUCAAGAGCUCCACCAUCGACAAUCUCCAUGUGGUUCUAGUAAUCAAGUGAAGUGUCCUCAUUCAGGGAUGUAGAGGAGUGGAAAUUGACGACAACUAUGGCAGUGACUGGAGACGAAGGAGUGGACGCUAGGGCUCAAAGUAUCGGCCAAGUCCAGUACGACUUGGUCGAGUUGUAUCUGCCUCGGACCUUUCCCAGUCGAGUCCGAUAUCUGAUACCAUUUUCAACUCAAACUCUGCCAAAAAUUGGUUAAUCUCAGUCAUCAGCAUGUAUGGGAGGAUUUGUGGGAGCGACCAUGUACUUCUUAUUUCUAAAAUAAAUAUAAGAUAGGAGUACAAACAAAUCACCAUGUCCACAAUGCUACCAUACACACAAUUCUCAAAUUAGUUGCCACUACAUAUCUCAAUGCCAAUUUUUCCACUAAAUUUUACCUCCAUCCAAUUCUUUGCACACAGAUGAAUUUAAGAUGCAACAAUACCAACAUGUUUGGACACGACUUAUGCUAACCUCUAUUAAAAUUAUGUGAUUGUAUCUAACUUUUCUUCUAGUGAUAUUCAUUGAUUGAUGCAAUUAGCAAUGUGAUUUCCUUUCAAGUAAAGUGAUUUUCUUUCCAUUAAAGCUUAUAUUUACUCGUAUAUAUUUUACCUAAAUUGGCGAAUGGAAAUAAGUGAGAUCUUAAUUCCACCUAUCUUCUUAUGGGACUUCUCACUAUUGAGUUAACAGAGUAAUAAAAUUCUCUAUAACCACCUUAAAACUAAGAGCAAUGACACAAUAUCAGAAAAUUAGAUAAAGCUGUAGAACUCAUCUGGAAAACCCCUUGGAACAAAUAAAACCAAGCCAAAUAGCCUAUACCCUAAGUUACAUAUGGAUAGCUUUCAUAAUAAGGGGCACAGGAACUCACUAGAAUAACAUUCCUCACAAGCAUAGACUGAGUGGAACUUGGGCCAACAUUAUUACCUUAUGGAAAGAGCUGUCCACCUGACCCUCCAAAGUUCUUUCCAUUAUCAUACUGGGUAGGGUGGGCUUCUGUGUUGAAGACCCACUCAUCUAAUGAUAUGACCGAAAAGGGUGAGAAAAGAAGAUAGAGAUAUUUUAGUGUCUCAGGGAGGAAGAAGCUUUGCAUCAUAUUGUCUUUGACGCCAGUGUUAACUUGCAAAUACCCUCAACCAGCAGAGUAAGUAAUGAGCAGCACCCUCUGAUCAGCAGCCACAUGAUAGGUGGGCAUGCAGUAGAAUCGAGAAUCCAUUAUUUCAAAUUCGUGAUAUCAAAACAAACACCAUAGUCUUCACUGACAACAAAAGGAAGUAAUUGAUGAGAUAAUUGGGCAGACUACAUUGCUGGGUUGGUGUCAGGUUUAUCAGAUUUAUAUUUUCUCAGCCUUCAUGGAUGGUAAUCUGAAGUAAAUACAACAAAAGUAUGGAAUCAGACAAUCUGAAGUGUAGACUAGAGAGUUUGAGGAGUGUGCUAACAUCCUUCAGUCCGACAUAUCCUGACUCUAAGCGGGAGUUCUUUUUAAACAUUGUCUCUUUCUCAAACAUUGUCCCAAAUUACAAAAGUUGUAAUUUAAUGGGUUGAAAGUAUUCACCAUGUAUAACCAUUCCAAAUACGUACUUUCACCAUUGCUUUACUGGCCAAGUUCACAUUCUACAACAAAAAACUUUUGACAGAUGACACUAGUAGCCUUCUCAUCCUUCUCUUCAGACAUUUCAUCUAUCAUAUACUUGAUAUGCAGCAUCAAGUGAAAACAAAUAACAAAACAAAAAUAAACAAGAAAGCAAUCACACAAAAACAUAAAAUAUUAACACAAUUUGAUAAUAUGCCCACAUCCAUUGAAAAAGAAGAAAUCAAUUUAAAUUUACUAUACUACAAGGAGUAAUUAUAUUUCCUAGCCUCUCAUAUUUCAAAAUCUCAAAUCACAUAAAAAAGGACUCACCAUUUUAAUCAAAAUACCUUUUUAUAUUCUAUGCCCUCUAAGGUUGAUUCAAGUGAUAAAGAGAGGGUUUGUGGGUAGUUCUAGGUUGAAGUCUCAAUAGAAACAAAAACUUGAACAUAUAACUUCUUAUAACUUAUUUUUACAAUAAAAAAAAUGGUUUCAUAAGACAUUCCCUUUAUAAUAAUAGACAAAAUAUUAUCAAAAUAGAAAAAUAUCGAAUAUCCAAAAGGAAAUUUGAGACACUUUUAAAUAAACAUAAAGCAAAAUAUUUAUCUCAAAAUAGAGGAAAGAUCAAGGUUCUUCCCAAUCUUAAAGUAUUCUUCACAAUUAAUGUGAUUAUUUUCACAUUUAAAGCUUGUAAUUAUACAAUUAAGUAUACCCAAAAUUACAAAUAAUAUUAUUUCUAUCUAAUGAUUUCUACCAUGUAAUGCUCUUCCUCUUUUCAAGCAUAAUGAUCUAUAGACAAUUUUUUCCACAAUACUGAAGUAGGCUUCACACCAAGAUUUCUUGAUUGCUAAAACAAAAUAUGGACCUAAAAUACCCAAAGCAAAUCCAAGCCCGAUACUAAAGUAAAACCACUGAUCAAUGAAGUCAUCAUCAUUUUCAUCUUCAACAGUACCUUGCCCCUUAUCUAAAUCAUCACCUUGGCAUUUAGCAACAAGUGGAGGUCCACAAAGAUGAGGGUUUCCAACAUAGGCAGACUCACCAAAAGUUGUCAUUUGUCCUGUAAAGGGGAUCUUGCCAGAGAAAUUAUUAUUUGAUAGAUUCAAAUAACUCAAAAAUGUUAAUAAAGACAUGCUCCAAGGAAUAAGGCCAUAAAGAGUGUUACUUGAUAGAUCAAGAGAUGACAAUUCAUGUAACCCUGAGAUGUUUUCCGGAAUCGAGCCAUUAAUAUGGUUUCUUGACAAGUUGAGAAUCAUUAAACCAUAUAACUUUGUUACGUCUUUUGGAAACUCUCCACCAAAGUUGUUGCUGGAUAGAUCUAUGCUAAUUAUGAGAGAAAGAGUCUUGAUAUAUUCCAGAUCUUGGCCUUUCGCAGUCACGAUCAAACUAUCAUCAUAAACUCGCCUUGUAUAAGAGACUCCGAGUGUAUAGCGACUUAUAUUUUGCUUUUGAGCCAUUGCUUUAAGAUCACCCAAACAGGCUGGAAUGCUACCACUCAAAUUGUUUUCAGCAAGGUCUAAGAUAUGCAAUGAACUUAAAUUUGACAGCUCAAAAAGAAGCCCUCCUGAAAAUUUGUUGGACCUCAACUUAAGAAUUCCAAGGGAUGUGAAAGCAGCUCCAAAUGCUGGAAUAUUACCCGAUAAUGAGUUGUAACUGAGAUCAAGGAUUUCCAAACUCAACAGGUAUCGGAAAGACGAAGGAAGUUCUCCUGACAGAUUGUUCUUGUCUAGGUGAAGUGAUUGAAGCCAUUCUAACUGACCAAAAGAUUUUGGAAUAGUCCCAGAUAAAUUGUUCUUUCCAAGGUGUAGCAUGCUUAGGUGAGGGCAAUUACUUAUGGUUGAAGGAAUGCUUCCUGUCAAACUAUUCCUUGAAAGAUCAAUGAUCCGAAGACUCUGCAUAUAUCUUAUAGACUCAGGGAUGAUUCCUUUUAUUUGAUUGCCUGAAAGAAAAAGGAAGCGCAAGUGUGGCAUGGAUUCACCUAUCCUGGCUGGGAUAGGACCAGAAAAUUUAUUGUUGGAUAGAUCAAGUGAGAGGCACCCAGGUUUUGGUAGAGGAAUUGGACCCUCAAAAAGGUUGGAGUUGAAAUCAAUAGAUACCCCAGGGGUCAUAUUUAACUGAUUUGGUAACUGACCCUGUAACUGGCUGAAAGAAAGACUUAAAAACCGUAGUUGAUGAGAAAUAUUCCAAAACCAAUUUGGGAUGGAACUUGAGAGUAGUAAGUAUUUCCAGCUGACUCAACCAUUCUGGCAAUCUGCCCUUUAGUUGAUUGUAGGACAAGUCCAAAUACAACAGUUCUGGUAAAAGACCGUCAGAACUGCAGUUUUUGGUUUCUUUGAGAAAUUCAAGUAAGCUUCCUAUCAAGGCAUUGUAACUCAUAUUCAAGUAUUUUAAGUUGCAAAAACUCCCAAUAGAGCUUGGGAUUGUACCUGCAAUCACAUCAACAGUAAAAAAAAAUAAUUAAAACAAUUUAAUUUAAAAUAUUUUUAAUAAAUAAUUUGAUGAGUGAUAAAAUAAUGAAAAAAGUAUGAGAUUCUAAGAACAUUGAGAAUAACAAUUUUUCUAAGUAGGAAACUUACCAAGAAAGUUAUUUCCUGCCAAAUUCAGAGCUUCUAUCUUCUUCCAACUUCCCCUUAACAUUUGAGAGUAACUACCUGUGAGAUUCAUGUUCCAAGAUAGAUCUAAGUACCGCAAGUUAGGUAAUUCACCAAAGCUUGGUGAAAUCUGCUCGUAUAACUGAUUAUGGCUUACAUCAAUGGAUACAAGGCUACUAAGGUUUAGAAGCCAUAUUGGAAAUUUUGAAUUCAAGAAGUUGUCACUGAUUCUUAUAACAGAGAGUGAAGUAAGAUUAAUAGAGCUCGGAGAUGAAACUGAACCAGACAGCCCACAGUCAUGUAGAUGCAACUCUAUUAAAAAUGGAAGCUUGUUUAAUGCCUCUGCCCAAUGAGAUCCUACCAUUGAAAGGUUGAUGUAGUUCAUCCUAAGAUGCUUCAAGGAAACAUGACUAGUCAUCCAUUCAAGGUUAUUAACAAAUAAAUCAUAAGACAGAUCAGAAGAAAGAUCGAGAAAUUGCAAACUAAUGAGGUUUCCCAAGUUUGGAGGAAUGGCACCACUAAACCCACAAUUUGAUAGAUUUAGGUAUUGUAGAUUCUUCAAAGAUCCAAAGAAUUUUGGAAUUAGGCUAUGCUUAAAUGAGUUGCCACUCAAAUCUAAAUAUCUCAAGGAUUUGAGUUCUAUCAAUGAAGGUCUAAUCUCCCCACUCAAGUUCAUAGGGCUCCAUUUUUUAUAUGCAUCCUCAUGAGCAUACGAGCUAUGAAGAUCUAUUGAAAUAACAGCUCCUGUAUUAUUUUUGCAACCAAUUCCCUCCCAUUGACAACAAUUGCCUCAUCUCCAUGAUGAAAGCCGAUCACUAGAACCUUUGAGACCAUUUUUGAAGUCAAUAAGAGCAUCUCUAUUUUCCCUUAAGCAAUUUCCCAAAAGAAUUUCACCUUUACAAAUGAAUUCUCUUGUUGUUAACAUAGAAUGAUUGAAAGGAAACUAAGAAUUGAAAAUUUCUCCAUCCGGGAACACCCGUAGAAACAAGUAACAAUAAGUUCCAACACAACAAUAAAAAUAGUGACAAAAUUCGAUAAGUAGCGGCAUCAUGAUAUUAGACAAUAAAUAACAUAUUUAAUUUAACUACUCAUUAGUUUAAUAAGAUAAAAAAUGUUAAGUGAACAACAUACUUGAAGACAUAUCAAGAAAACAUUAUUGUGACCAUCUCACCAAAUGGCAAAUAUGCUCAGAUGAUUGUUAUGGAUCAAAACAUUCAAACUACAUAAAUAAACCACAGGGGGGAAAAAAGGCAUUAGGAAUAAACACUAGGAAUAGUGGCAUUAUUACUCAUGAAGUAGGAUUUUACCUAUUAUCUCUAUUUAGGUUGUCCUCAAUCCUUUCGUUGCAGAGAAAUAUAUAGAAGAUAAUUCAAAAAGAAGCCAAGUGGAUGAUAGUGAUAGUUAAUCCCUUCUUUAAUUUUAGCUAUAUUUUUAAAAUUAGAUUGGACAAAUGGUUCAAUUGUCAACCAAUCCCUUUUGGUUUGGGUGGCCUUUUCUUGACCAUUUUGGGCUUAAAUAGGUGGAAAACUGGCGAUUACUACUUGAUUAUGAAUUAAUAUUACUUUUAAACUCGAUCCUUGAAAAUUCCAAUACUUCAACAUUUCACUUCAUUAAUAGCCUAAAUAAAUUUAAAAAAAAAACAAAAAUAAAACAUCAAUAAAAUUUAAUCACUUGACAAGAUUUGUAAGUCCAAAAUUUUGAUACCAUGUUAUAAGCUAAUAAUUUAGCAUGAUAAUAUAUAUUACCAAACAUUUGGUUUAAUAAGAAUAAACCUAAUCUAAAUUCUCAUAACUAUUUAUUGGGUUGCUACUAUAUAUCAAGAAAAAUCUCAUCGUUAACUAUGCUUUUUAAAAUUAUCUUCUAAGGAAAAAGACUUAAGUUAUUAUCUCUUUAAUUUUUUUGGAAAGAAAAAGGACUCAAUCUAUCAUUUUGGUCCAUAACUUUGACUUUGUGCCCUAUCCACUUGUCCCUUUGAGCAUGACUUUGUUACUACUUGUGCAACAUGAGAAAAAAAUGGGCUUUUAAUUAUGAAAAAAAUCUUUAUAAUAUCCCACAAAGGGUUAUACAAGUCAUGUACGUUUCACAAUCUUAUAAAAAAAAUUAAGAAAAAAAUAAUAAUAUAUCAUGAACAAAUUUUAGCAUACCACUUCAAAAUAAAUAAAAAUUUUAAAAUAUUUGAAAAUUUUAUAAUGAGGCUAUCAUUUAUGAUAGAAAGACCAUAGUUAUAAUCAACCUAUCCACUAAAGUCAGCUUUGGAUGGUUGCAAUUGUUUCAAGGAUUGUAUUUAUCAUAUUUAAGGUCAUACAUUGCCUCUUUUGAAAUGCAUAUUGCCAAAAGGCGAUUAGCCUUUCCAUAUCUCAAACCUCUCAAAAUUGUUCUAAUUUGCAAUGGGUGGUGCUGUGUUGUGCACGCGAGAUUUGAUAUAUAUUUUGGGGUAUAAGUCUUCAAAAUAACAUUUAGUAGGUAAAUAUAUGAUUUUCAUAUUUGUAAAGUCUUUGGAAGACUUUGUGAGUGGUGAAGGUUUUUCAUGUAAAUUAUACAUCCUUGUGCAUGAUUGGAGUUCUCAAUUGAUUUUAAUUGUUUACUUUCUUAAUAAAAAAAAACCGAUACAUGUUAGGCUAUAAUGAAAAGGACUACCUAUUCACCCCCCUUCCUUUUUUUUUACAUACUUUUGUAACCAAGAUCGCAAAUUUUUAAUAUACACACCAUUUUGAGGAAAUUUUUUUAGUUCCAAGUGAUGAUUUGAUAAAACCAAACUAUAGAGGAUUGAGUAUAUGUAACAAUCAUUUUUGGGUAGUUCUUAUAAUUGAUUCGUGCCCAGUAGGGUAUUUUAAUAAAAAAUAUUUAUAAAUCCUAUGACCUCAUACUAGCGUAGCAAAGCUACUAUAGUAUAGCAGCUCUAGGGUCGAACUCUAGGAUAGGUUUUCACUCUACCAGUGAUAGACUCAAGAUUAGAAUUUUAAUCUGAUGAUUUCCUCUGUCAAAAACUUAAAGUUUAAAAGAAAAUAAAAUUUGUUUUGAAAGUGGUGUUUGAAACUAAACUAACAUGGAACUAGGUAAAAAUGGAAGAAAGAAAGUCUCCUGGAGCUAAAGGUUGCUAGGAUCAAGUUCAGAAUGCAAAGUGGGAAAUUCCAGAUUUUUCUCCUCGCAUUGGGGACAACAACAUAAAGGAUGGUUGUUUCCCGAACCGGUAUAGGUUUAACAAUGAAGAUUUAAUCCAUAAAAAGUCAAUAGAAAUGGUAGUCAAGUUCCAUUAAUGGCUUUAGACACUAUGGGUCUUCACCUUGAGCCACUUUCCAAUGGCUCGUACAUGAUAACUAAUGGUCUGAUGUGGAUCUAGCAAUAAGUAUCCACAGAGAUCUAAAAGCUUAUCAUGUAUUGGUCAUUCAAAGUGAUUCUAAGGGAUUUAAAGCAAAACUUUAGAUUUUAAAAGCCAUUUAUGAACUCCAACUACCUGCAUUUAAAGCGUGAGAGUUUUCCACUUUUGCAUCUGGACUUUUCACCUAGCUUCCUUCACUCCAAGAAACCAAAGGUUUAGCCUCUCAUCCUCUGGGAAAACAUCCUCAGAGGCUGUUUGGCUAGUAAGAAAAUACAAUUAAAAUGAGAAGGUAAAGCAAAGCAAAGGCUCUGUAUUUUACUUCCUUACAAAACUGUACAAUGGUUUUCGUCUCCCUUUUCACACCUUUUCACACCCCCGAGAACAGGCUCCCGAGAUAUAUAUAUAUAUAUAUAUAUAUAUAUAUAUAUAUAUAUAUAUAUAAAAUUACAAAAUAUCUAUUUUAGGUUAUUCACCCUUUUUCCAAACUUAAUAACUAAGGAAUCCUAUGAUUGGUGGGUUACAAGGAGAUUUUGGGGAUUUAGACAACAAAUAUCUAAGGCAAAAUAUCUCAAAAUAUCCCAAAAUGUCGGUGGCAAAUAUUAAGAAGCUUCAGGAGAACACAACAGCACUGUGCAGAAUGGCUGCUCUCCCAUCCGACGUCAGAAUUCCGGACGUGGAAAGUGCGCGACAGCCGGGUGUAAAUGGCGGCGCGCAUCCGAGUGUAAAUGGCGGCAGCCGGGUAUAAAAUGGCGGUAGCCGGGUGCAACUUGGCGGCAGCCGGGUACAAUUGGCGGCAGCCGGGUGCAAAAUGGCGGCAGCUAGGUGCAAUUCCUAUCCGGAUAUGUGGUCCGGACGCCCUCCGAUGGUGUAUCCGGACGCCCUAUCCGGGUAUACUCCUUGCAUGGAUUCCAAAGAACUCUCCUCAAUCUCAUAUUGCUUUGGUGAUCAAAAAGCUAUCAAAACACCGAAACUUAACACAUUUUUUAUUAGAAUUGAUUGCAAGGGUCUUUAACAUGCCAAUUGAGUUAAAAGGUGAUAACUACUACUCAAAAGUGUUUAAAAGAGUUAAUUAAAAGCUAUGAAAUAUCACUUUUUGAGUAGUAAUCAAUAAUCUAGUUCAAUAUACUUUAUGUUCCAUGAAUUCUUUAGAAGAAUUUAAAAAUGAAUUUUGGUAUCAUAAAAUAGAAAUAUCUUAGUUACUAUUAUAAUUCCAUAUUUUUCUUGUGAUAACUCCAAAAAAAUAGGUUUGUUUUUUCUAUUCAAAUAAAAAGAACAUAUGUUGUUUAAAACGUGGCAUUUAAAUAAAAUUCAAAUGCUCUUCGACCGUUUUGCUUUCAUCACUGCAUUACCUUCUUCUAUCACUGCAUUAGCUUUACAAAGCUCUCAUUUUCCUAACAAGUAGUAGUAGUGCUAUUGCGUGAGAUCAUGUUCGGCAUAAUUUUGAAGAUGAUGUUUGACAUAAAAUACACUAUUGAUUCCUUUGUAUAAAAAAUAAUUGGGGAAUUUAUGUAACCAUACACCAAGGGGCAAAAUUUUGCCUUUUGGAAACUUUACUUUUUACUUUUCAAAUUCAAUGGAUUUUGUGGAAAAUAAACCACCUUUCAUACACUGUAAUAGUGAUAUUGAGGCCCUUCCAAAAUAUCCUCAUUCACUUUGACAUAAUCAAUUGCUCAGAAAAGCCAUGUUCCACUUAAGCCAAUGACAUGGCUCAUAUGACAUGUAGACACUCCACGUGGCAAUAUUUAAAAAAAAAAUAUUUACUAAAAUAUAAUAGUGAGAUUUACCCGAAAUUCUUUCUUCUGUGUUGAAUCAAAACCCUAAAUCCCUUCUUCUCUCUUGAGCCAAACCAAACCCCUAAAUCCCUUAUUCUCUCUUGAACCAAACCCCAAAUCCCUUCUUCUCUCUUUGAACCAAACCCCCCAAAUCCCUUUUUCUCUCUUGAACCAAACCUUAACUCCAAAAACCCAUAUUUUUUCACCUUCUUUCACAACCACAAUUCGCAAGGGGAGCUUGCAGUGAAAACAGAGAGAGGUGGUCCGAGCUGAGAGGAGCUUUCCCAGAUACGAAUGUAAUGGAUUUAUGAGUUAAUUUGGGUUGUUAUCGUUGCUUGUUGAGAUAUUUGACAGAAAAUUUGGUACUUUUUUAAAAAUAUCACCGAGAUUUCGGUAUUAAUGGGUAUUUUUACCCAUUUUUCAAAAAAAAAAAAUGCGGGAAAUCUCACUGAAGUUAGUGAGGCUGGAAGUUUGUAACUAUCAAAAAAUAAAAAUAAAAUUCUAAGCUUUAAGUUGUAGGUCUUAAAAAGAGGCCUUGAUGGAAAUAAAAGGAAAAGUUGAUCAAUUAAAGAAAGAGUGUAGAGGUCCACUGCCAUUUCCAGUAAUUGUAGCACAACCCAGCUCUGUAAUGUCAUGCGCUUUGAAGUUUAGGUGUGGUUCAGUGGUUGGCAAAGGUAUCUUCAUUACCCGCACUCCACUUACCAAUCCAGCCCGCACACAGAUCCAGAAUUUGCGGGCAAAGGUUGUGUUUUUCAGGUUGGCUCAAAAAUCGUAGAUUUAGGGUUUGUAAAAUUUAAAUCCAAUGGCACAAAAGCAAAUAGAACCCUAGAACAGAUACAGAAAACACAGGGAGUAACAAAAAUAAAAGAAUUUUUUUUUUGUUUUCCUUGGGAGUUUUGCAUGGAUUUCUCUCAGAAAUCAAACGAGGAUGAAUUUUCCCAGAAAUCGAAUGGGAAAUGGAUUUUCUUGGGAAGCAAACGGGGGUUGAAAAGAAAUAAUAAUAACAGGAUUAAAUUAGUACCUACGAGGAUUGAGAGUGGCAGAGGAAAAUAGGGCAUGAUGCUUGCCUAGAAAGGAAAUUCAAUAAAAGGGCUUCUUGAUGCCUCACUCGGGUGCCCGUUUUGUUUUUUAGAUUUAGUAGAGAAAUAAAAAGGAAACAAAUCAUAAGAACAAUAUUAUAAAUCAAAAUUAUUAAUUAUUAAUUAUAAAUAAUUAUUAAUUAUCCAUCUUUAUUUUGGUUAAAUCAAAAUUUUAGUUUUUAUCAGUAACAUUUUAUAAAUUAAAAUUAAUUUGAUAAGAUAAAUUAUUAAUAAUAUUAAUUAUUUAAAUAAAUUAAUGUUAAUAGAAAAUUUUGUUACCACAUAUUUUUAAUACAAAUGUAGAAAUUUUUUAAACAUUUAAAACAAUAUGGCUUUUAUUUAUCAAUAUAAAAAAACAUUAUAUUUUAAUUUAAAAAAAAAUCAAAAUUUACAUGAACUGUUAUAUAUAUACGUUAUAUAUAUAUAUAUACACAAAAACUAACCUCCUCAAUUCUGGAGCUUAUUCGUUACAAGAACUUUUUUUCUCAAAACUGAUUGGUUGACAAAGAAAAUUGCAAUAUUAUCUUCAUUUAUUUAAAAAUAAUUUAAAAUGCAUGCACUUUUUAAUUUAUGAUUUAAUUAUUCCCAAAAAUAGCCCUUUACUUGUCAUGUCAUCCUAAUCCAUUGACAAUUAGAAUCCUUCAUAUAAAUAUUUCCAUUCUUUUUAGAUAUUUUAUUAUUAUUAUUAUUGUUAUUAUUAUUAUUAUUAUUAUUAUUAUUAUUAUUACUUUAUUAUUUUAUUAUUUGGGAUUUUUUUUCUCUAGAAACAUUAUAAAGUAAGAAUUUGAAAAAAAAAAACAGAAUUUAUUAUAGUAUUAAUAAGUUAAAAAUAGAUUCAUAUUCUUGAUAAUAAAUAAACCAAUAAUAAAUUUCUAUUUAUUAUAUAAUAUUAAUAAUUGUUUAAUAUAAUAAUGAAUAAAAUUUGUUAUUAGAGUUUUUCAAUAAUAAAUUUGUUAUAAUAUUAAAAUAAUUAUAUAUUACGAAGUUUAUUAUUUAUUAUUUAAUAAACAACUUUAUUACUUUUUGAAUUGGUAAUUAUGAUUAAAUAUGAUUUGUUUGAUAAUAUUUCCUAAACUUUUAGAAAACUAAAAUAAGAAUCCUAUAAGGUGUUUGUUUCUAGAGGAAAAAAAAAUUAAAUAAUAAAAUAAUAAAAUAACAAAAAAAAUCUAAAAUAAUAAGGAAACAUUUAUAUGGAGGAGUGUAGUUGUCAAUUGAUUUGAAUAACAUGACAAAUAAAAUGGCCUUUUUUGGAAUAAUUGGAUAACUAAGUGCAUGUAUUUCAAAUUAUUUUUAAAUAGAUGAAGAUAAUACUAAUUUAAAAUAUUUGGGAUUCUUUUUACCAUAUAUUUUCUUAUUAGUGAAUCAAAUCCCAUUUUUCCCUAAACUAUAUUGAUUUGGUUAGAUGAGUAUGUAAAUUUGAGGCAUACCAUUUGUUUAAUUGGCUGACCUACUAAAAUGCACAUUGUCUGUUUUUUUUUUUUUUUUGGCAGUGGGUAUCAUAGUGGGUGACCCUAUAUAUAACAAUUUCACCCUUAUUGAUAACCAUAUUAUUGAAAGGCUGGGGGAAACCAAUCUCAAUGAUUUUCAUUUACAUGAUGUAACAAAAUGUUUCCCAUUUCUUUGUUAAUAUAUGUUAUAUUUGUGUAAUAAUUAUGAUGAAUGUAUAUAGGAACACUAUAUUCACGUUCACAUGUCUUUAACAUUUGAUUAAUUUAUUAAUGAAUUAUGGUUGUUUAAUGCAGUGAUAAUAUGAACAUACGAUGUCGUUGUUCUGACCGUAGAUUCCUCUCUGGAAUCCAUUUGCUCUCAGAAGUGAAGAAGGAUGUAAUAAGAGAACUUGGUUUUGGUGGGCUAUUGCAAUUAAGUUGUAAGGAGGUUAAUUUAGAUUUAUGUUUUUGGUUGAUAAAAAACACAAACAUUGCUUAUUCCCAACUCGAGUUAUUUGGGGGUAAGAAGGUCUCUUUAACAUGUCAUGAUGUUGGAGUGAUAAUGGACAUUCCACAUAGUGGAAGAAAGUUAAUUGUUGAGAAGGGAAGUGUUAAAGCUAGUCAAAUGCCGAGUUUGCAAGAUAUAGAGUCAAUGAUGGUUGGCAUCAAUGAUAUGGAGGAAUUUAAGCGGGUCUUCUUGAUUUUCGCUUGUGUAAUCUUAUUGGCACCCACAUCUUGUUUGGAAGGUAGUCACUCGUUAUGGUAUACACCCCGAGAGCAGUUACUUGGGAACAUAAAUUGGGGAGAAUAUGUCUUAGAAUUUUUUAUUCAAGCUAUACAUGAACAUAGGAGGAAGGAAAAUGUUUGGAUUAAAGGGUGUUUGAUGUUUCUACAUGUAACUUUUUGUCUUAUUUAUAAGUAUAUGUUCAUGUAUUAGAUAUUUAAUAAUGGUUAUACACUAUGUUGGCCAUGAUGUUACUACUAAUUAUGUCUUAUAUAAUGCAACAGAUAUUCUACUUUUCAAUAUCUAAUUUUCCAGCCAUGUAUGUGGAACUUACCACUCCUCGCAUUGCUGCAUGGAACGAUUUUUUGGUCAAGCAACACAUCAAGUUGGAGUUGGAAAUGCUUGGAGGAUUUGGCAAAGUUGAGGUAUAAUUAGCUUUUAGUUAUAUUACGAUAGUUGAUUACCAUUGUAAUUAGAUUAUUGGGAUGACAAUUUACAUGUUUUGCAAUGAUAGUUGGUUAGCACAUCAGCGGUGCAAGAUGAAACAGAAAAAAAUAAGGCUCCUACAGUUGAUGAACCAGUUGACCCAGAUGAGAAUGAAGACUUUGAUGUAAUCCUUCAUACUUAAUGACUAUGAAUAGUAACUUAUAUUAAGGCUUAGUUUAAAUAUAUGUCAUUUAAUGUUCCUUCAUUAUGUUUGACUUAGGUUAUUUGUGCUUGCAUGGAGGCAACACAACAUCAAAUCACCGAUGCACAAAGUCAUCUUAAUAGUCUUAUUGCAUCAUACAACCGUGACGUGAAAGUGUUGAGGACUCGUUUCACCUCUUCACACUAUCGCACAGAUGAAGGCCAACCGUCAAAUUGUCAUGAACAUGUUAAUGAAAGUGGUGCACCAUUUUAUACAAAUAAUCCACAACAUUCACCUGUUCAUUCUGGUGGUCAAAGAAGAUCUUCUGAAGAUGACCUUGGAUGUACAAAUGAAGGGGUGUCAGAAAGACCCAACGUAGAAGAUGGUGUGUUCUUUGCAAACGAGGAUCCUCUUCACCCUGGGCCACACAAUAUGUUGGUGUUAGUGCAAUCGUGCAUGGACAACAAUGCGGAUGUAGCACCACAAGCCUCAGAACAAAUACGACCACGAAGAGUAAAAAUUAAAGUACGUCGUCAUAGCCAACGAGUAGCUGCGAGCAAGUCACCUUUUGUAUAAUUAUGUGUAUCAAAAUACAAAAGGUUGACGGAGGAAGAGACACAUGUUGCCGACUAUGUGUUUGACGAGUCAAAAGAUCCUAGGUUAGUCCCAAAUCACACGUUUAGCAAGUAUUGUUCUUAAAAGACUAUGAUUAUGGAUUUGUCUAGAAAAACAAAAAAAAUUACUCACGUCUUGUGUUUCAUGUGAUUAAUAGUGAGAUGCUUUGUGCAUAUGGUGGCUAUGGCGUGACAUGGGAACAACUUCAAUGCUUAGUAGGGAAGAGCUUCAUUGAUAUUCCGGUAAGGUUUAUGAUAAAUAAGAAAAAAUACCUUCAUCCUUCCAUUGAUCAUUUUAACUAAUGAAGAGGCAUUAUGUAGGUGAUUUCCAUGUUCUGCCGAUACAUGAAUGCAAAAGAAAAGAAUCCUUCUCACAGACACUUUUUUAAUCCAUACUUUGGGGUGAGGUUUUUUCCUCGAGUACACCAAAUCUUGUCCCUAAUAUAAGAUGCAUGUAUAGUUUUAGUCAUACAUUGUUACUAUGAUCUCAACAACUUUUUACAGGAAAUAUGUGGUUCAAUGAGCAAGUCUACCUCAAAAUCAACACUCAAGAAAAGAUUAGGUAGCUAUUGUGUUAAUCUUGAAUGUUGCAACUAGGUAAUGCUUAACUAUUGUAUUGAUUACAUAGAUUGAUGACAAUUUUUUAGUAAUUUCGAAUUUAUAUUUCAAAUAUUUGAGCCUUCAUUGUUGUUAUGAUGAUUGUCUGUUUUGUAGUUUUAUAUCCCCUUUUUCCAAUUUAAUGAAUGGGUCAUCAUGGUAAUCAAUUUGGAGGUUAAAAGGGUGGAUCUACUUUCAUCAUAUCAUAGCAUUCAACGGAUUCACUUUGUUAAUGAAACUUUCAAAGUAGUUGGAUUUAUGUCGCAGUUAUUAAAAAAUUCCUUCAAAUGGAAUGAUGUGAAUAUAAAUAAUUUACAUCCACAGUAUGCAGACAUCAUUGGCGAUCCAAAAUUGUUAGUUACAUAUUUUUUUUUCAUGUAUUCAUUUUCAAUCCUAAUUGGGUCCUAUGUUAAUAACAUGUCACAAAUCAUACUUGUUAUUGCAGAUGUCAUACUAGGAUGUAUGUUAUUCUCUAUAUGCAACAUUGGGAUGGAAGUGGUCUUAAUAGAACCAUUAAUUCUAUAAGUUGUUAAGUAUGAUGUUAUGUUUUUAUUUUCAAAUGUACAUGUUAAAUGUUACCGGGAUGUAGGGUCUAACAUAAGUUUAAUGUGUAGGAACGCAUGAGCCUUGAAAGAUUGAAAUUUGCAACUCAUAUGGUUCUUGAUAGCAAAAACGAAAUUGGUGAAAUGGUUACAGCUAAUAUUUGGUCAACCAACAAUGCAGAAUAGUAUUGGGUAACCUUCACAAUUAAUUUCUUUUGUUUUAUUUCAUUCAAUUUUUUAACUAUACAUUCUAAUUUAAACUCUAACUUGGUCAUCGAUAGUGAAUAAUAGAUUUUGAGGCUAUGUCAUGUCUUCUUUAUGGUACAAUAGAAGGGAUACGUUAUCAAUACUGCUUCCAAGCAUGCAUGGUUCAUUUAACUACCAGGCUAGGUGCUAUCUCCUCCCUAUAUAUAUAAAACUAUAGUAAAUGACAUUUUUAUUUUUUAAGGUUAUAUUAUUGACAAUUUCUUUAUGCUUCCAUAAAUCGUUUGUGCUCUUCCAUAUAACCUGUUUAAAUCAGUUGAUAAUAUUAUAAUGACAUGGUCUGGUUGCUUAAACUUAUCCCCAAAUUUCUAUGUUUAUGUAUAAUCAUGAGCCAAUUAUUAGAUUAUUCAACAACCCUGUAAACCAAUUUGGUCAAAUGGCUGUAUUUUCUGUUUAGCUGAAAGAAUCCUUGUUACCAUCUGAUUGUGGGUUUGGCUGUCUCGCAUCUAUAAAGCAAUUGAUACUAAAUUUAGUUUAGAGUGAUUUUUGAUGGUUAGACACUUAAUAAGACAAAAGAUGAAUUGUUCCUGCAUUAAUAUUUCCUAGGGGAGUGUUGUGGAAAGAACCCUCUAAAGGAAUAAGUUCCUUCAUUACUCAUAAGCUUUAUGGGUUUUUAUUAUGUUUUAUUUACAUCUUGUGGUUAACUGUACUUCUCUUAUCUUUAGGAGUUCAUUGAUAAGCUGAUUGAGGAGGAUGAAUUUGAUGCAGAUCAAAAGGAUGCAUUUAAGGUGAUCUGUAAUUGAUGAUAUGCAUGUAACUGAUUGCUCCUUCAUGUAAUUAACCAUACCAUGAACUUAAAUUGUUUUGGUUGCUCAGAAUUUUGUCAAAGACAAUGUCCGAGAGGCAAAAAAAGCCAAUAAACAGGUAUUUUAUAGUAGAUACCAAUCGUUGCAAUAGUUUUGGUCCUACACAUAAAUUUCAAAUAUGUUGAGUACUUGUCAAUUCAUUUUCUUGUAGGCUAGAGAAGCCCGAAAAAAGGCCUUGCAGAAAUGAGUUAGUAGACUAAAGCAGCAUUUGAAAACAUGAAGUUUAACAAGUUCUACUCAGUCCAGACCGAUGAUACUCCUGACAUAUCAAAUGUUAAGGUACAAUUUUUUUUUUUUUUGCAAAAGCUAAUAUUAUUAACACCGCCUAAUUAAAAGAAGGUGCACAAAUGUACACAAGAAGUUUAAAAAUGAGACAUAAAGGCAAUUAGAUUGAGAGAUUAACAAAAGGACCUCUCUAUAAUCAUCAAGAGCCCAACCAAUCAACACAAUCUAAUAUGGAUAGUCAUGUUAAAAGCCAUAGAGAGCAUAAGAAAGAAUUUGUUAGAGUUUGUUCUGAUUAUUAUUCAUUGACAAAAACUUUAAAAUGUUAAGGUACAAUUUUGAACAUCCCUUCUAUUGAAAGAACAAAAUAUCUUCGACACCACUAUUUUUGUUUCUCCAUAUGAGACUAUUGAUAGCCUAUGAAUCUUGUGCAUUUUGAAGCUGGCCUUUAUGCGAUAUUCAAGAUCAUGGUGUAUUGCUAUAAGUCGUUCCCUACAUAAAUAGUCAAAAAUUAUGUAGGGAACAAAUAAAUAAAUUAAACAUAUAUUCCAUCAAGAGAUUAAUUUUUCGAUCACCUGGAAGGAACAAAAGAAACAUUUUGUUGUUUCUUCAACAAUUUCUUAUCUUUAAUGGACCUCUCAAUAGGAUUCGAACCCAGAUGAAGUUCUGACCAUCUGUCAGAGAAAAAAGAAAGAAUGGAUCUUGUAGGAUUCCUAAGAAAUUCUUCAAUUUCUUCCGGAAACAGAUGAAUAAUCAUCUGUUUUUCACGUUCCGUGAAUAGCCGGGACAUUGACAUUGAGGAAUAUCCAAAAAGGCAUUUCGGGAAUCGGUCUGAUUCUAUCUCUGUUCGUUCCGUUUGAAGAAAGGAAGGAUCCCAAAGAAUCGAUCUUUCUUUUAGUUGUUGAAUCUCUCUUUGAUUGACCAAUGUGUGAUAUUUCGAAUCCUCAUUACUAAUGGAAUCAAAAUGAUUUGACUAUUUAUGUAGGGAACGACUUAUAGCAAUACACCAUGAUCUUGAAUAUCACAUCAAGGCUAGCUUCAAAAUGCACAAGAUUCAUAGGCUAUCAAUAGUCUCAUAUGGAGAAACAAAAAUAGUGGUGUCGAAGAUAUUCUAUUAUUUCAAUAGAAGGGAUGUUCAAAAUUGUACCUUAACAUUUUAAAGUUUUUGUCAAUGAAGAAUAAUCGAAACAAACUCUAAUAAAUUCUUUCUUAUGCUCUCUAUGGCUUUUAACAUGACUGUCCAUAUUAGAUUGUGUUGAUUGGUUGGGUUCUUGAUGAUUAUAGAGAGGUCCUUUUGUUAAUCUCUCAAUCUAAUUGCCUUUAUGUCUCAUUUCUAAACUUCUUGUGUACAUUUGUGCACCUUCUUUUAAUUAGGCGGUGUUAAUAAUAUUAGCUUUUGCAAAAAAAAAAAUUGUACCAUAACAUUUGAUAUGUCAGGAGUAUCAUCGAUCUGGACUGAGUAGAACUUGUUAAACUUCAUGUUUUCAAAUGUUGCUUUAGUCUACUAACUCAUUUCUGCAAGGCCUUUUUUCGGGCUUCUCUAGCCUACAAGAAAAGGAAUUGACAAGUACUCAACAUAUUUGAAAUUUAUGUGCAAGACCAAAACUAUUGCAACGAUUGGUAUCUGCUAUAAAAUACCUGUCUAUUAGCUUUUUUUGCCUCUCGGACAUUGUCUUUGACAAAAUUCUGAGCAACCAAAACAAUUUAAGUUCAUGGUAUGAUUAAUUACAUGAAGGAGCAAUCAGUUACAUGCAUAUCAUCAAUUACAGAUCACCUUAAAUGCAUCCUUUUGAUCUGCAUCAAAUUCAUCCUCCUCAAUCAGCUUAUCAAUGAACUCCUAAAGAUAAGAGAAGUACAGUUAACCACAAGAUGUAAAUAAAACAUAAUAAAAACCCAUAAAGCUUAUGAGUAAUGAAGGAACUUAUUCCUUUAGAGGGUUCUUUCCACAACACUCCCCUAGGAAAUAUUAAUGCAGGAACAAGUCAUCUUUUGUCUUAUUAAGUGUCUAACCAUCAAAAAUCACUCUAAACUAAAUUUAGUAUCAAUUGCUUUAUAGAUGCGAGACAGCCAAACCCACAAUCAGAUGGUAACAAGGAUUCUUUCAGCUAAACAAAAAAUACAGCCAUUUGACCAAAUUGGUUUAUAGGGUUGUUGAAUUAUCUAAUAAUUGGCUCAUGAUUAUACAUAAACAUAGAAAAUUGGGGAUAAGUUUAAGCAACCAGACCAUGUCAUUACAAUAUUAUCAACUGAUUUAAACAGGUUAUAUGGAAGAGCACAAACGAUUUAUGGAAGCAUAAAGAAAUUGUCAAUAAUAUAAUCUUAAAAAAUAAAAAUGUCAUUUACUAUAGUUUUAUAUAUAUAGGGAGGAGAUAACACCUAACCUGGUAGUCAAAUGAACCAUGCAUGCAUUGGAAGCAGUAUUGAUAACUUAUCCCUUCUAUUGUACCAUAAAGAAGACAUGACAUAGCCUCAAAAUCUAUUAUUCACUAUCGAUGACCAAGUUAGAGUUUAAAUUAGAAUGUAUAGUUAAAAAAUUGAAUGAAAUAAAACAAAAGAAAUUAAUUGUGAAGGUUACCCAAUACUAUUCUGCAUUGUUGGUUGACCAAAUAUUAGCUGUAACCAUUUCACCAAUUUCGUUUUCGCUAUCAAGAACCAUAUGAGUUGCAAAUUUCAAUCUUUCAAGGCUCAUGCGUUCCUACACAUUAAACUUAUGUUAGACCCUACAUCCCGGUAACAUUUAACAUGUACAUUUGAAAAUAAAAACAUAACAUCAUACUUAACAACUUACAGAAUUAAUGGUUCUAUUAAGACCACUUCCAUCCCAAUGUUGCAUAUAGAGAAUAGCAUACAUCCUAGUAUGACAUCUGCAAUAACAAGUAUGAUUUGUGACAUGUUAUUAACAUAGGACCCAAUUAGGAUUGAAAAUGAAUACAUGAAAAAAAAAUAUGUAACUAACAAUUUUGGAUCGCCAACGAUAUCUGCAUACUGUGGAUGUAAAUUAUUUAUAUUCACAUCAUUCCGUUUGAAGGAAUUUUUUAAUAACUGCGACAUAAAUCCAACUACUUUGAAAGUUUCAUUAACAAAGUGAAUCCGUUGAAUGCUAUGAUAUGAUGAAAGUAGAUCCACCCUUUUAGCCUCCAAAUUGAUUACCAUGAUGACCCAUUCAUUAAAUUGGAAUAAGGGGAUAUAAAACUACAAAACAAACAAUCAUCAUAACAACAAUGAAGGCUUAAAUAUUUGAAAUAUAAAUUCGAAAUUACUAAAAAAUUGUCUUCAAUCUAUGUAAUCAAUACAAUAGUCAGGCAUUACCUGGUUGCAACAUUCAAGAUUAACACAAUAGCUACCUAAUCUUUUCUUGAGUGUUGAUUUUGAGGUAGACUUGCUCAUUGAACCACAUAUUUCCUGUAAAAAGUUGUUGAGAUCAUAGUAACAAUGUAUGACUAAAACUAUACAUGCAUCUUAUAUUAGGGACAAGAUUUGGUGUACUCGAUGAAAAAACCUCACCCCAAAGUAUGGAUUAAAAAAGUGUCUGCGAGAAGGAUUCUCUUCUUUUGCAUUCAUGUAUCGGCAGAACAUGGAAAUCACCUACAUAAUGCCUCUUCAUUAGUUAAAAUGAUCAAUGGAAGGAUGAAGGUAUUUUUUCUUAUUUAUCAUAAACCUUACCGAAAUAUCAAUGAAGCUCUCCCCUACUAAGCAUUGAAGUUGUUCCCAUGUCACACCAUAGCCACCAUAUGCACAAAGCACCUCACUAUUAAUCACAUGAAACAUAAGACGUGAUUAAUUUUUUUUGUUUUUCUAGACAAAUCCAUAAUCAUAGUCUUUUAAGAACAAUACUUGCUAAACGUGUGAUUUGGGACUAACCUAGGAUCUUUUGACUCGUCAAACACAUAGUCGGCAACAUGUGUCUCUUCCUUCGUCAACCUUUUGUAUUUUGAUACACAUAAUUGUACAAAAGGUGACUUGCACGCAGUUGCUCGUUGGCUAUGACGACGUACUUUAAUUUUUACUCUUCGUGGUCAUAUUUCUUCUGAGGCUUGUGGUGCUACAUCCGUAUUGUUGUCUAUGCACGAUUGCACUAACACCAACAUAUUGUGUGGCCCAAGGUGAAGGGGAUCCUCAUUUGCAAAGAACACACCAUCUUCUACGUUGGGUCUUUCUGACACCCCUUCAUUUGUACAUCCAAGGUCAUCUUCAGAAGAUCUUCUUUGACCACCAGAAUGAACAGGUGAAUGUUGUGGAUUAUUUGUAUAAAAUGGUGCACCACUUUCAUUAACAUGUUCAUGACAAUUUGACGGUUGGCCUUCAUCUGUGCGAUAGUGUGAAGAGGUGAAACUAGUCCUCAACACUUUCACGUCACGGUUGUAUGAUGCAAUAAGACUAUUAAGAUGACUUUGUGCAUCGGUGAUUUGACAUUGUGUUGCCUCCAUGCGAGCACAAAUAACUUAAGUCAAACAUAAUGAAGGAACAUUAAAUGACAUAUAUUUAAACUAAGCCUUAAUAUAAGUUACUAUUCAUAGUCAUUAAGUAUGAAGGAUUACAUCAAAGUCUUCAUUCUCAUCUGGGUCAACUGGUUCAUCAACUGCAGGAGCCUUAUUUUUUUCUGUUUCAUCUUGCACCGCUGAUGUGCUAACCAACUAUCAUUGCAAAACAUGUAAAUUGUCAUCCCAAUAAUCUAAUUACAAUGGUAAUCAACUAUCUUAAUAUAACUAAAAGCUAAUUAUACCUCAACUUUGCCAAAUCCUCCAAGCAUUUCCAACUCCAACUUGAUGCGUUGCUUGACCAAAAAAUAUCUUAAUAUACGAAGGAUUCUAAUUGUCAAUGGAUUAGAAUGACAUGACAAGUAAAGGGCUAUUUUUGGGAAUAAUUAAAUCAUAAAUUAAAAAGUGCAUACAUUUUAAAUUAUUUUUAAAUAAAUAAAGAUAAUAUUGGAAUUUUCUUUGUCAACCAAUCAGUUUUGAGAAAAAAAGUUUUUGUAACGAAUAAGCUCUAGAAUUGAGGAGGUUAGUUUUUGUAUAUAUAUAUAUAAUGUAUAUAUAUAACAGUUCAUGUAAAUUUUGAUUUUUUUGUAAAUUAAAUAUAAUAUUUUUUUUUAUAUUGAUAAAUAAAAGCCAUAUUGUUUUAAAUGUUUAAAAAAAUUCUACAUUUGUAUUAAAAAUAUGUGGUAACAAAAUUUUAUUAACAUUAAUUUAUUUAAAUAAUUAAUAUUAUUAAUAAUUUAUCUUAUCAAAUUAAUUUUAAUUUAUAAAAUAUUACUGAUAAAAACUGAAAUUUUGAUUUAACCAAAAUAAAGAUGGAUAAUUAAUAAUUAUUUAUAAUUAAUAAUUAAUAAUUUUGAUUUAUAAUAUUGUUCUUAUGAUUUGUUUCCUUUUUAUUUCUCUACUAGAUCUAAAAAACAAAACGGCCACCUGAGUGAGGCAUCAAGAAGCCCUUUUGCUAAAUUUCCUCUCCAGGCGAGCAUCAUGCCCUAUUUUCCUCUGCCACUCUCAAUCCUCGCAGGUACUAAUCUAAUCAUGUUAUUAAUAUUUCUUUUCAACCCCUGUUUGCUUCUCAAGAAAAUCCAUCCCUCAUUUGAUUUCCGGGAAAAUUCAUCCUCGUUUGAUUUCCGAGAGAAAUCCAUGCAAAACUCCCAAGGAAAACAAAAAAAAAUGCUUUUAUUUUUGUUGCUCCAUGUGUUUUUUGGAUCUGUUCUAGGGUUCUAUUUGCUUUUGUGCCAUUGGAUUUAAAUUUUACAAACCCUAAAUCCACGAUUUUUGAGUUAGGCUGAAAACCACAACCUUUGCCCGCAAAUUCUGGAUCUGUGUGCGGGCUGGACUGGUAAGUGGAGUGCGGGUAAUGAGGAUACCUUUGCCAACCACUGAACCACACCUAAACUUCAAAUACGCUAUUUCUUUAAUUAAUCAACUUUUCUUUUUAUUUCCAUCAAAGCUUCUUUUUAAGACCUACAACUUAAAGCCUAGAAUUUUAUUUUUAUUUUUUGACAGUUACAAACUUACAACCUCACUAGUUUCAGUGAGAUUUCCUGUAUUUAUUUUUUUUUUUUGAAAAAUGGGUAAAAAUACCCAUUAAUACCAAAAUCUCGGCGAUAUUUUUAAAAAAAUUACCCAAUUUUCUGUCAAAGAUCUCAACAAGCAACAAUAACAACCCAAAUUAACUCAUAAAUCCAUUACAUUCAUACCUGGGAAAGCUCCUCUCAGCUCAGACCACCUCUCUCUGUUUUCACUGCAAGCUCCCCUCGCAAAUUGUGGCUGUGAAAGAAAGUGAAAAAAUAUGGGUUUUUGGAGUUAGGGUUUGGUUCAAGAGAGAAAAAGGGAUUUGGGGGGUUUGGUUCAAAGAGAGAAGAAGGGAUUUGGGGUUUGGUUCAAGAGAGAAGAAGGGAUUUGGGGGGUUUGGUUCAAAGAGAGAAGAAGGGAUUUGAGGUUUUGAUUCAACACAAAAGAAAGGAUUUCGGGUAAAUCUCACUAUUAUAUUUUAGUAAAUAUUUUUUUUUAAAUAUUGCCACGUGGAGUGUCUACAUGUCAUAUGAGCCAUGUCAUUGGCUUAAGUGGAACACGACUUUUCUAAGCAAUUGAUUAUGUCAAAGUGCAUGAGGGUAUUUUUGGAAGGGCCCUCAAUAUCACUAUUACAGUGUAUGAAAGGUGGUUUAUUUUAUCCAUUGAAUUUGAAAAGUAAAAAGUAAAGUUUCCAAAAGGCAAAAAUUUGCCCCUUGGUGUAUGGUUACAUAAAUUCCCCUAAAAAUAUUUUGGUACAACUUUUGAAAUCAUUACAAUACAAGACACAGAGAGCAUGAUGUAUUAAGAAUGAGAAGAAUUUAUUUUCAACAAAUCAUUUGAUUCAACUUUACUUGUGUUUAAUUUUUAUUUUGAGAAAGUUAUUUUUACUCAUAUUAUUAAAAGAAUUUAUUGAAUUUUAAUUUUUAAAAAUCAAUUUGAUUAUAUUUAUAAGAAAAUUGCUUUUUAUUUAUUUUUUCUAGAAAAAGAAUGAUUCCUAUAACUUUUUUAUGAAGAUAUUUUAAUUUAAUUUUUUUAUAUAAAUUAUUUAGAAAAAAUAAUUUUUAUAAAUUGAUCAACAACUUUAUUUCAAUUAAAUUUUAUUUGCAAGAAAAUUGAUUUUUAUUAUUUUUAUAUAAAACAAGACUUUUACAUUUUGUUUACAAAAAUAUCAAAAUUCGAUCCAAAUUUAUUGGUAAAAAUAAUUUUUUAAUAGUAAAAAUGGAUUUUUUUACAAUUUUAUUUACAAAAUAUACUUCAAUCCCUUUUUUAUUUACCAAAACUGAUUUUUUUCUUAUUUGAUUUUUAAAAAAAAUAUAUUAAAAAAUAUCUUUAUUUGGUAUGAGCUAAGUUUUUUCCAUUUUAUUAUAAGAUGUUUGGAAAUUACUUCAAUUUUAUGAAAAUAAUUUCAACUUUAUUGUUUAAAAAAAGUUUCAAAUUUAUUAAAAAAAUUUGAAAAUACUUUUAUCCUUUUAAAGAAGAGAUUUCCAUAAUUUUAUCCACAAAAGUAUUUUAAUUUAUUUUUACUUUAAAAAAAAAGAAUUUUAUUCCAAUCAGAUUUAAAAAAUAGCUUUUUUUUUUUUUUUUUUUUUACUUUUAUUAAAAAACGGUUUUUCCAAUUUUAUUUUGAAGAAAAAAUUUGGGAGAAUUGUGUUUUCAACCCAGCUAGGUUGGGUAAUUGAGGUAAGGUCCUCCUAUCACUCAUAAUUAAACCCAAAACCCAAUGAAAGAGUAGAAAUUGAGAGGAAGAAUAUUGUCUUUAAAAAAUCCCUAAAAUACCCUUCUCAUUCUCUCUUUGACUCUUUUACCCUUCUCCCACCUAUUUAAUAGUGGAACCAAAUUGAAUCAUUUUUUUUCAUUUGUUAAAAAUUAUUAUUGCCAACUGUAUUUUUAAAAUGAAUAACUUUUAAAUACCUCAUUAAAUAUUAUUAUUUUUUCAAACUUACAUAAUAUAUAAUAAAUAUUUUUUAAAUAUGUUAAAAACUUACAUAAUAUAUAAUAAAUAUUAUUCUUUAUUUCAAACUUAUAUUAUUUCUCAUAUAUAUUAAAUAAUUUUUAAACACCUCAUAAAAUAUUAGUAUUAUUUAUUUGUUCUAACUUGUAAAUUAUAUAUCAUCAAAUAUUAUUUUUUUUUCAAAUUUAUAAAACAUAUAAUAAAUACUUUUUAAAUACCUUAUAAAAUAUUAUUAAUUUUUUUUUCUAACUUGCAAAUUAGACACAUGAUGUUUAUUAUUUCUUGUAUUAUUUCGAAAAUAAUGUAAAUACUAUAUAUCAAGAAAAAUAUUUACAAGACUAAUUUACCAACCUUUUAAUAAUUUUGAAAGUGUAAAUAGGGUAAUUGGCCAAAUUAAAGUCUUCAAAAUAUUCAAAAUUUCUCCAUUCCAAUAUUACCUAAUUGCUCCCCACAAUAAUCCUAAAUAUUUUUGAAUAAAUAUUUAAAUAUUUAAAACCAUUAAAAUAAAUACUCUCUUAUUAAAGCAAUUUUCUCCAAGUAAUAAGAUAAAAAUCAUGAAAUAUUCAAAACUAUAAUUACAACAAAUAUUUUUAAUUUUAAAACUAAUUUCAUAAUUUAAAUUAAUGAUUUUUAAAAAUAAAAAUGUUAUAAAAAUAAUUUUUGUUUAUUUUUAAUUCCAUUUAAAUAUGAUUUUUUUAAUCUCUAUUGAUAACAAUGAAAUUAUGUUUAUAAAGGCAAAAUAGUAAAAAUAUAUACUUCAUUUAGUUUACUUAUAAUGAACAAUUUAAACACGAUUUAUUUUAAUUUUAUUUUCUAUGUGUUGAUUUUUGUAGGGAAUGUCUUAAUGACAUAGUUUGGUAAAAAAAAAAAAAAAAAAAACUAUCAAUAAUCAUCUUAAUGUCAAACUCAAGUUGUUUAAAAAGCAUACAAAACUAUUAGGAGUCUUAUACAUCCUUGUACACUUAGCACAUUUCUCUUGUACAAUUAGUAUAAUACCCUUGUACAAUGACAUAAAUUUCAUAUCCAUCUUAAGUUAUAUGUCGUAUUAAUCAUAUUUUCAAUGGUUUGAUUGAGAAAAUGGUGAAUGACUUAGGGUCAAUUUUUUUUCCCCAAAUAUCAUUAUUGGGGAAAAUAUUGGAAGAUUAAAAAAGUUACUAAAAGUCAUGUUAAAAAAGUUAUUAAAAUAAGGAAGGAAGAAGAUUAAAAAAAAUUAAACCUUUUAUUUUAUAAUAGUUAAAAAAAACUUUAAAAUACCUUUUAGUAUAAAAGAAAUAAAAAUAGUGAAUAUAUUUAUUUUAAACAGUAUUUUAAUCAUUAAAUUAUUUACUUCUAAAAUGUAAAAGAUAAAAAUAAAUGUAAAUGAUAAUUUUUAUUUAUUUAAAUUAAUAUUUUUUUAGAAAUAAUUUUUUAAAAUAGUCUUUGAAUCAUUAAUAUAAUUUUUGUUUAUUUAUAAUUUAAAAAUAAAAAAUAAUGUUAAUUUUUUAAUUAUUUAUAAAAGAGUUUUAAAAAUAAUACAAAAUUUAAAAAUGAUUAAAUAAAAAAGAAUAAUGGCAUGUGAAAAGUGGUAAAAUAAAGACAAAAAUAAAUCAAAUGAGUAUUUUUGUUAAUUACUAUUUUAUAUCCUUAUAAUCAAUUAUGGGUGGUUGAAGGACUUUAAGUCUAUAUAAGUUGAAAACGCAAUUGUCCCAACAAAAUUCAGAAAAUAGUUUUUUUAUUAAUAUAAAAUUGAAAUCUUAUCUUUUAACAAAAGCAAUUUUCCAAUGUUAUUUUGAUGAAAAAUAGUUUCAAACAGUAGUUUUUAUUAAUAUAAAAAUAAAAAUCUUAUCUUUUAUCAAAAGCUGUCUUCCUCGUAGGGCUGUCUUUUUUGUCAAUCUAGCCAUCUCCCAAUCCACCCAUGCAAACAAAGGCCCUGAGCAAUAAAAAUCAAUAUGCCAAGUAACAUUCAGCAAAGCCCAAUCAUAUAAAGCCCAAAUGAAUAUAAACUAAUCAAGCCUAAACUCAGCUUAAAGCCCACAUGAACAAAUUUAGGCCCAAAAAUAAUCACAACUCAAUGCCUCGAGAGCCCACCAAUAAAACCCAAUGCUCAAAAUAUCAACUGUGAAGAUCAAAGGACAAUGGAAGAUCAACGGAAGGCAAGCUGAUGGAGAGGGACAAUGGUUGCACGUUGAUUAUGGCAGUGAGGGAAUGGAGAAGUGGGAUGGGAAUAGGAAUUUGUGAGUCGCGGCAUGGGCGGGACAAACGAAGGCACGGGUAUGGUGGAAGGGGCAGCAACAUGGGCUGGAUGUGAGAGGUGGGCAGGCGGCAAGAAAAUGGAGAUAAAAGAAAGGGAUGAAUGGAAGAGAGGAAGGGUAAUGAACGAAAGAAAAUGAGAAGAAGAAGAAGAAGUGAGGGCCUGGUCGUGAAGUGAGAGGGAAGAAGGGGGAUAAAAGGAAAAAAGAAAUUAAAAUAAAAUAAAAUGAUAACAAUAAUAAUAAUAAAAGAUAAAUGAAAAAAAUGUAAAAAUAGGCAUCGACAAAUUUGGGGGUGAUGGCAUAGAAAUUGGCCAAAACCCCGUGACAGAAAAAUAAUAAUAACAAUAAUCUAAAAAUAAUAAAAUAAAUAACAAUACGUGUAUUGAAGUUUUAAAUUUUGUUUAAAAAAUAUUUAUAUUUUUAUUAUAUAUAUUAAAUUGAUCUCAAAUGCAUAUCGUAGAGAGUAGUUUUCAUAAAAAUAUUUAAAGUGAGGGUUCUUUGUUUGUUUGUUUUAUUUUUACUCAAAUUUUAAAACAAGUUAUUUUAUUUAGAACUAUUUUUUUAACUUAUCAUAUCUUUUAAGACAAUUUUAAUUUUUUUUUUAAUUCUUUUAUGGUAAGAUAUGUAUAUCAUAAGAUAUCAUAUCUUAUUGGAUAAAAAGUACAUGUUUUAAAACAUAUAAUUUCCAAUGAGAUAUAUUAUUCUUGAAUAUACAUAUUUUAUGAACAUAAUAUUGUAUGAUAACAUAUCCAAUGAGAUAUGGUAUUUAAUUUUUGAAAUGAUUAAAAAAGGUAAUAUGAAAUAUAUAUUAUUUUCAAUAUUUAAAAUAAAAAUUAUAUCACAUCCAAUAUUUUUUUAUUUAAAAAAAUGAAAUUUCUCUUAUAUUUAGUAAUAUUCGUGAUUAAAAUAUUUUAAAUUUAUAAAUAAUUUUUUUUAUUAUGUUAUUCAAUAUAUAAAAAUAAUUCAUAUAUUAUAUAUGAUUAUUAUUUUAUAAAUAUUUUUUAAAAAAUCCUUUUUUAACCAUAAAUUUAAUUUAUAAAAAAAAAUUAUUUUGCGAAAUAAGUAUAUAAAAAAUUUUUUUUAUCAUAUAUAAGAUAUGCAUAUCAUAUAUCUUAGUAUGAGAUUAAUAUAUUUCAUGUAGAAUUGAAUAAAAAAAAAAGUGAAUAAUAUAUCUCAUCACUUAUCUUAUCUCAUGUUUGGAUAAGAUAAAUGAUGAAAUAACUUAUCUUAUAAAAGAUCAAUCAAACAUGUGAUAAUAUUUUAUUUUUUUAUCCUAUUUGAUGUUAUAUCAGCCAACCAAGUACAACUUUAUUCUCUUUAUUUAUUUAUUUUUCUUUUUUUUUUUUCAAUUCUAAACUUUAAUACUGUGAUCUAACUUUUUAUACAAAAUUAAACUAAAUCUAUUUUUGAAAGUUUUAGAUAACUUUUUUUUUUUGAAACUAGUUAAACUACCUUAAUGUAAUAUAAUUUGAAUAAAGAAAUGAAUUAAACAACAUAUAUAAGAAUGAACUAAACUUUUUUUUUUCUUUUCCGAGUCAAGUGUUUGCUUUAAACUUUUUUUUAGAAUCAAGUUGUUUAAUCCUCUUAUGCAAAACCCAUUUCUUACUCAAUUAUAAGGAACAAUAUGAAAUAAUAAAGUAAGAAUAACCUGCAAAUAAUAAAAUAAGAAUUAACUAUUUUUUUUUUCUUGGGUCAAGUUUUUUACUUUAUUUAAGACAGUUUUUGUUUUAAACUUUGCUUUUACACUCAAUUUGAGUUGAGCUCAAACCAAGGUUUGAAUAAUCCGGUCUAAUCCAAACUUGAUUUAAUAUUUUUAUGAUAUUUAUAAUGCAUUUAUGUUAUAUUAAUUUUCUUUCCAUAUUUUUAAAAAAAAUAUUAAAUUAUAUUAUUUCAUAUACUUUUUCAUUUUUUUAGAAAUAUGUACAAAUUUAUUUUUUACUUUUUUAUUGCUAUAUUGAAACUUUUUUUUUUUUAAUUUACUAAUUAAAUUUUCAUAUAAAUAUAUAAAAAAAAUGUAAAACAUUAUCAUGGAUUUUGAAUUAUGCAAUUCCAUCAACUUGUUUAUAUAUAUGAAUAUAAGGUAGCAAACCAAUCAAAUAAAUCCUCUAAACAAUCACAAACCCCAAAGAAAAUCCAACAAAAAUAGAAGAAGAAGAAAGAAACCUAGCUAAGUGUUGGAGACAAAGGAAAAAAAUCAUAAGUAUAUUUCAAAUUAAAAGAACUAUUAAUAUUAAUAUUAUUUUGUAGAGAAUCGUAUUAUGUUUUAAUGGGAAGAGUUUUUCAUUUUUUUUAUUAUGAUUUUAAUAUAAAAAGGGAGAGUAAGGUUGCAUUUUUCAUUUUCUAAAAGAAAUUUUUAUUUUCUUGAAAAUUAGCAUGAUUAAGAUAAAGGAAAAUUAUUAAUCAUGGUUCUCAAUAUAAAAAGAAAAGCCAAAAGAAAAAAAAAGUUAAAAUUGCAAUCAAAUGAAUAAUUUCUCAAAGAAAAUAUUAAAUAUUACCAAUUAUAUUAUAUUUUAUAUAUUCUGAAAUAUAAAAUAAUUUUUUUAUUUUUUACAUUUUGGUUUGAAUCAAGAUGACAUUUGAAAUUUUUUAUUGUUAACUAUUAUAUUUUUACUUUUACCCUUGAGUGAAGAGAAAAGGGCUGGGUUCCUUGGCCCAGAAAACCCUUGCAAGCUUUUGAUCUGGGUUGGGUUUCAAAAUUGGGCCUUCAUGCAUGAUUCAGCACAGAAGGUUUUGGGCUCACCCAUGAUGCGGGUGUACGAUAAAUCAUAAUUAAUGUAUGAUUAUUGAUUUAUUUUAUUUUUUUAAGCAAGUUCAAAAUCAUUGAAUUGGAUAGAAAUUUGCUAGCCCCGUUUGGAUUAACAUAAAAUGCUAGGAAAAAUAAAAGUUAGGAAAUAAAUUUAAAUUUUUAAAUUGGAUUUUUCAUGAAAAAUGUGAAAUAAAAUAAAAUGGAAAAUACCAUAAAAUUUAUAAAAAUUUUCAAAGUCUUCUUUCCAUUUUAUAAAAGAGAAAUAAAUUUGAAGAUUUGUUUUAUAGCUCUAAAUGUAAAAAGGGAAUAGAGGUGUUGAAAUGGUAAUCAAUACAAACCUACAAAAGUUUUCAAUAAAGUAAUUUUUUCUAUACCACUGACUUUAAAAAAAUAAUAAGAAUAAAUAUUUGGAACUAAAAUAAAAAAUAUAUAUAUAUUUCCAAUUUUAAAGGUUUAUUUUCAAAUUUGAUAAAUAUAUUUUCAAAGUUUUGCUGCUUUUAAUAUUUUAUUUCUCUAGUAAUAAACAAUUUUUAUGAGAAAACUUGUACAAUGCAAUAAUAAAAAUAUAAAAAAUUUACAAAAUAUUGGUAGUUGGAUUUUAUGAAGAUUUCGAAAAAUAUUAUAUAAAAAUUCCUAAAUAAUUCCGAUGUGAUCAAAAUUGGCCACAACCCAUAACAAGAAAGGAAAAUCCUCAAUUUUCUUUUCAAUCCUAAACUUCAUAUACUCGACUCGAAAUUUUCAUACAAAAUUAAACUAAAUAUAUUUUUGGAAAUUUUAAUUAACUCUUGUUUUAGAAACCAGUUAAACUACCUUCAUGUAGUACAAUUUAAAUAAAAAAAUGAAUUUACCAUAAAUUAAUGAAACUAUCUUCUCAAAAAUUUAAUAUGACUAAAAUAAAUUUUGUUUUUAUCUAUUUUCUCUCUUUUUUUUCAAGAAAAUUUAGAUCUAAAACUUUCCCAUGAAAAUGAUAACUCAAAAACCACACCAACAAUAUAAAAGUGGAAUCAAUAUAUAUAAAAUAAAUCCACAAAUUUCAAAAUCAUAAAACCAAAAUUCUAUGUUUUUUAAUAAAAUUUUACCUUAACGAAAUAGUGAAUUUUUUUUUUUUUUUUGCCUUAAUAACAAAGUUAUUUUUUUAUACAAAAAUAAACUAAAUUUGUUUUUGAAAAUUUUAGAUCACUCUCGUAUCAAAAACUAGUUAAACUACUUCAAUAUUAUACAACUUGAAUAAAUGUGUAUACAAAUGCAUAUAUAUUGUAAAUAUAAAGUAAAAAAGUAAUAUACAACUAAUUUCAUGAAAGAUAGUAGGAUUUAAAGAAUUAAAAUAUGUCAUACCAUAUGAAAACAUUGAAUGCUAGAUUUUUAAAAAGUUCAAUUUAACAAAAUAUAGGUUUAAUAUAAAAUUUCAUCACAAAUUCCAUAAAAAAAAAACUUCUUAGAAUUUUACAUUUAGGUUUUAGUUCCAAAUUCUACCUAGGCAUAAGUACUUAUAUGUGUUGUUGAUAUAAAUGUCUCUUUGUGCCAUCUCCAAAGUUCCAACUUUUCAUGUUCGUCAUUAUCUCUUCCUCGCCUAAAAAAACCCUAAUAAAUUAAGUAAAAAUUUUUUAUUCACUAAUUACCAUCAUUUUCAUUGUCAAUAUCAAAACCAUCGAAAUGGAAAUUCUCCGAUAUUCAUUAUAAGAAUAAAUUUAUUUAACUUCCACUUUGGCCUUUGACAACAUGAAUAUAGCUUUCAUGUAGGAUUAUCUUUACUCUUUCUCCUAUUAUGAUCAAUUUCUAACCGUUUUGUAUAUAUUUCCUUUAACAAAAUACUUCUGCUAAAAAUUAUGAAAAAUAGCUAAAAGUGUAAAUAUCAUUUUAUCAAGCAUUGGAUGAUGUAUCGUAUAUGUUUCAUAAGAUACACUUAAAAUAAGAUAGGGGUUGCUAAAUGCCUCGUAUCAUGUAUCCUAAGUUUUUAACAACUAUGAUCUAGAUAAAGUUUGAUCCAUAUGCUGAAUGGUGAAGUCAAUGUAAAUAUAACAAAUACAAGAACAUUGAUGCCAAAGGUGACCUCUGAAAUGAAAUACUCACGGGUGGAUGGCAUCUGGAGCACGCCUUGAGCUACUCAGACCAUAUGCAAGAAGAGGCUACAUUGUGAAUAUGUAUUAGUUUCUCUGCAUUCAAUAACUAAAAAAUCAACACAAAUGUAAACAAGAGUAAAAGAUAAGAACGUCAGGAAGAUGAACAAUUAGACUAACAGGAGUACCUGAUUUGCAAAAUCUGCGGCUGAGUGCACAACUUCAGCCAACAUAACAUGGCUAGAGGUUGUUAACCAGACCCCAAACUUGAGAGAAAAGACGAGGAAGUUACACCAUAAUGCAGUUCUGACUGCUCGUUGGCUAGAAUAAACAUGUUAGGCAGACACAAAAGAAACCACAAAAGGUCAGAUGGUGAAAAGUAUUAGCUAAAUUUCUGGUCCCUAAUUGCAAAAAAGGCUCAAAAUUCUUGAUAGGUUUGGAUUCAGUGCAGUUCAUUAAUAUGCAGCUUGGAUUGACGUCAUCCACAAUCACUCCACAUCCUAAGAAAGUCACCCAUAAAAUCACACUAGAGGAGAGAAUCAAGAAACAAAGGAAUCAAAAGAAUGAAAAGCUUUCUCUUUCAUGACUGCUUGCAUCAACUAGUUAAUUUACUCUUUUCUUGUAUUAAAUCAAAGAUAAUGUUACAGAAGAUUAAGAAUUUCCAAAACCAUAAAUAUACACACUCCUAAAGGUUUUGUAGCCUAUUUCUGUGAACUGGGACAUUCCAACUAACCCCAUUUUCAUUUUCGGGUUGCUAUAAAAUAGUGCCCCAAAAUAAAACAUUCCCAUAAAUCUUGCCUUACUUUCCCAAAACCAAAAUACAUGUACUCCGACUCUUAUUUGCAAGUCAACCACACAAAUGCUCACAUGAUCAAUCAACAAACCAACUUACAGCCCCAAAAAUGGCCAGAAAACAACUCAAUUUACCUGUCCUAUAGUAAGCCCUUAACAUGAACUGAAUAGUCCCAAAAAUGCAAUUCAAUUCAAUUCAAUUUGUUUAUCUUAACAUGAAUCAAAUAGGGCCCAGAAACUUAAUAUACUAUAGUCAGCCAUUAAUAUAGCUCAACUAGGACCCGAAAAUUCAAUUCAAUAUAAUUCCACAGUAAGCUAUAAAAUCCAAUCAUGAUUAGAACAAUAGCAAUAAGGAAACAAUGUAGGCCAAUAAAAGAAACCAAUGAAAACUAAUAAUAUCAAUAUCACCUGCUGAUCAUUGAUUUCAAUGUUCUUAACUUCCUUGGCUCUAGUAAAAAAAUCUGUAAAGAUCACAGAAAGUCAACAUCAACCCACAAAAUGGAAAAAGAAUAAAAAUAAAACCACACCAUUCAUCCACCUUCAAAGAAAAAAAAAUACUCACUACGAUUGAUACAGUGGCGAUUAGAAUCUAAAGAGGUCCCACAACUGCACAGAAAAUUCCGCAAUAUGGGCCUUGGAGCGAAAAAAAGGGCUCCAUUUUCUGGGAAUUUACAGUAAGAGCUGGGUUGUUGAAGGUUGUGGUUGAAGGAUGGAGAGGAAUGAAGGAACUGGGAGAGAGUGAGGAGGCGAGAGAGGGGGAAAUGGGAGUAGUGGUGGCGCGUGAGGAGAGCUGGAGAUGGGCUAGGCGUGAAUCGAAGAAGGCAAGAGCCUAUCUUCUUGUUGAUGCUUCUCUGCAUGCUCCUUGUUACUCCACCUCCAUGGAAGCCCUCGUUUCAGAGAUUUUAGGGUUUUGAGCUUUUUGGUUUUGUGAGUUGGAAGGGUUUUUGGAGAAAUGGGAGGAGAGGGGUUUCUGGAAUUGGAACAUGCUUUCUGAUGUGUUUUUCCACUUUUGGGUAAAAAUAAAAAUAAUAAAAUAAAUAAAUUUAUUAUUAUUAUAUUAUGACUCUAUAUGUUCAAGUCAAAAUUUAUUUUAUGAUACAAUUAAUUUUAUAAAAUUGAAAAUAUUUAUAUUAUAGAUAAAAUAAAUAUUAUAUAAAAAAUUAUUUGAGAAAAAAGGUAAAAAAGAUGGUAUUUAUGUUGAGGAAAAACUUUCCCAAUUUUAAAUUUUAGGUUUUUUCAUAUAAUAAUUAUAGAAAAAUACUUCAUUAUCUAAAAUACUUCAAAGGUUGGCUUCUCUUGCUACUUAUGUUUUUAUUAUUUAAACAAUGAUUUUUCUUCAAAAAAAAAAAAAAAAAAACAAAAACCUACUCUUAAACAUUAUUUUAAACAAUAAAUAUUGUAUAUAAAUAAAAUAAAUAUUGCACAAAAAAUAUAGUAUAUAAGAAUAUUAUAGUUAAAAAUAACUAUAGUACUUUUGUUUUUUGGAUAAAUAUGUAUACAACAUAUUCAUUAUACUAAUUGUAUUUUUAUCAUAAUAUUAUAAAUCGAUACCAAUUUUAACUUAGUUUUAUGUUGUUUGGUUGUGAAUGAGAAAUUUGCCGGAAAGAAAAAUUAAAUUUAUUAGGCAUGACCUAAAAGCAAAGAAUAAAAUCCAUUUUAUCCCCUCAACCUUUUGUGUCUCUUACACUUUGUCCCACAUUCAAAAUCCAACGCACUUCAAACUUCUUAAUGGGUAGCACUCAACUUUUUUUUUGGAUAAUUUUUAUUUUCAUUAAAUGGAUGUGCUCCACACGUGAUGUGAUAAGAGGGUAAAAAUGUCAUUUAAAAGAUAUCAAUGGCCCUAAAAUCUAUUCCUUCAUUUUUCUUUUUCUGAAACCUUGAAAUCCUCAAGUUUAAAAAAAGACACCUCCUUUAAUCAAUCUUCCUAUUAUGCUGAGACAAUGAGUCUAGCACAUUAUAUGUUGGCAAUUUUGUUUCAAUAUAUUCUGGUUCAUGAAAGUUUUUAAAUAGUGACUUACUCUUCAUUGAAGAUUCAAGGUUGUUGUUGGUUAAACCAUAAAGUUACAGGUAAGUUUAAAAAUGUUUAUUUAGUGGCAAGUUAAAUGAUUAAAGGGUUAAAGUGGAUCAAUAUUUUUUUCAUAAGCUAAAAAUACUUGAAUUAAUGUUUUGGAAAAAACAAGAGACACUUGAGCGGUGGAACCAACACUCAAGUGCUUAUCUAACACUCAAGCUCACAAGGCGUUCGAGCGAUGGUUAAGUGCAUUCAAGUGGUUGUCCCAAAUCUGCUAGAAUAUGGUAGAUUUCUUUUUGAAAUUUUAUAAGUAUUAUUUUUUGGAAAUUCUAUAUAUCGAUCCCUUAGGCCUAUAGACCUAUAUAAACCCUCUAUUAGCCCCUUUUAGGGUUAGACACCUUGAAAGAGUUGACCAACUUAACCUAUCAUUCCUAAUCUCUCAAGAAAAAAUUCAUAAUAUUGAAUUUCGGGUUGUUGGAAGAACUUGCAUCCCCUAAGAGGUUGAGAAGAAUCUACUAGAGCAUUAGAGGUGUUAUGUCGCGGAUGUGGAUCAAGGUAUAGGUGCUAGAGAAUAAGUUUUUAAGGUAAAAUGGUCAAGUAAAUCUGUGUACUUUGAUCUGAAAUAGUGGAUUGUAUAUUAAAGGUCUUAGACCUCAUGAUUUUUAUUUCCACAGUUAGUGUUAGGUUUUUCCACAUAAAAAAUUAUUAUGUCUCUUAUUUGAUAUUUGAUUACUUUGAUUAUCCCUAAUAUCUUCAAGUUUUAUUUUGGGAUAAUUUUUCAUCACUUAUAUUGUAUUAUUUUAAAACACCUAUUCCCUCAUCUCCCCUCUCAGGUGUUAUCCUAAUAGACAAAAGGUUUUUUCAAUUGGUAUUAGAGCAAGCUUUUCUAAAUAAAAAUCAUAUUUUUAUUGAUCUUGCAAGUCCAAUAUGGAACAACCAAGGUCUGAAGCUCCCCUAAAUAGUCCACCCUAUUUCGAUGGGAGUAAUUAUCCCAACUAAAAGGCCUGAAUGAUUUUUUGAAAAUGCAAGGAGAAAAGGUCUAGAAUGCAACGAAAUAUGGAUGAAGACUUCAUUGAAACUAUAUGUGAAUGGGAUAUCUACUGAUGAAUUAAAACCCAAAAAAGAAUGGCAUAAAUUAGAUAAUGAAGAAAGUGAUGCCAAUGCUCGGGUUCUCUUUAGCAUAUUCAAUAGGGUAAGUCCUAAUGAGUUUUGCAAGAUAGCCACUUGUAAAUAUGCUAAAAAAGCCUAGGACAUUCUCCAGGUUACACAUUAAGGCACUUUAGUUGUGAGGUUCGCUAAAUUGCAAAUGUUAACUUUCAGGUUUGAAAGCAUUAAAACGCAAGAGAAUAAAACUUUCUUUGCAUUCUAUGCUGAAUUAAGUGACAUUUUGAACUUCUUUUUUUAACUUAAGAGAACAAAUCCCUGACUUUAAAGUAAGUAGAAAAAUCUUGAGAUCUCUUCCUGAAAGGUUUAAACCUAAGGUCACCACAAUAGAGGAAAACAAGGAUAUUUACUCCAUGAGGGUUGAUGAACUUGUUGGUUUUUUUCAAAUCUAUGAAAUGACCUUUCUAAACUCUCACAAGCCUAAAGAGUCUACUUUUAAGGAUAAUGAAAUUGAAGAAAAAGAGUCUGAAAAUCAUAAUGAGAUAACUAGGGAUGAACUAGCGUUCAUGGCUAAACGUAUUAAAUGGGUUUGAAACUUAACAAUAGACCUAAUAAGAACAAGGACUUGGGAAAGGAAAAAAGAUUUGGUAGGUCUUCUAAAGAAAAAGAUAAGGAAAUUACGAAAGAGAAAAAAGGUAAAGUGUUUUAAUUAUGGAGGUUUGGAACAUUUUUCUAUUGACUAUGUCCUAGUCUCAAUGACAUUAAAAAAAAUUGUGCAAGCUACAUGAAGCGACACUUACUCUGGUGAGAGUGACUCUAUGACUUUUGAAGAUGCAAGGUAUGAGCAAAAUGAUUAUUUAAAUUUUAUUGCAUCUGUUGAUUCUAAGCAUGAUACUAAUAGUCAUGAGAGUGAGUAUUCUAAUGAAUAGAAUGCUAGUUUUCUUAGAAAUAUUUCCAUUGAAUAUCAAAAACUGAUUGAACAAUAUUUGAAGACUCAUAAUAUUCUUAACUCAUAAAAAGCUAAAAUUGAAUAUUUUUAGUGAAAAAAGACUAAUUAUCUUGCGAAAAUUUGAUUCAUUGAGUUUGAAUAUCAUUCUCUUCUUGAGAAAAACAAUAUUCUAACUUAAAAAAUUGAGACUAAAAAACCAUCAAUAAGGCUUUUCACCUUGGGACUAGUGUUGGAUGAAAUUCUUGAGAAAUGCAAGUCCCAAGGAGAUAAGAAAGGCCUCGACUAUAUUAGCAAAACCAAGACUUCCACAAGUGGAGGCAUAGUAUUAGUUAAAAGUAAGGAGGAAACUCCUAACCAAGAAACAUCUUCUAGCACUUGCUCACUAUUCACACACUGUAAGAAGUCUGAAUAUACUCAAAGUAGGUGUCACACUAGAUUUAUUGAGAGCUAUGAGUCUCAAUUGAAUAGGCUUGUGAACGAGUUUAAAUCUCUAAAGAAUAAUAUUUUGAACACUAUGAGAGGGAAGAAAACCAAUAUAGAGCUUAAGACUCAACAAAGCUCCUCCGAGUCACCACCUAAAACAAGUGUGGAUAAGAAAAGAUAGGCUUAAGUGUUAGAUUGUUUUCACAGCCCUUAGAGCUAAAGCCCUUAGUGAAGCUCUAGGCAUAUGACAGGUGAUAAGUCUUUCGUCACCUCUCUUGAGGAUUUUAAUGGAGGAAAAAUCACCUUUAGGGAUGGUAGUGUAGCCCAUGUGAAAGGUAAAAGUAGUAUCUCUAUCCCCAUAUGCCUAGAUUUAGAUGGAGUCCUUUAUGCUAAUGAACUUAAGGGUAAUCUUCUUAGCAUUAGCCAAAUUUAUGACAGUGACUAUAGGGUAAACUUCUUUUAAAGUUUGUGCGAAGUGAUAAACAAGGAAGGAGAAGUCAUUUUCAUUAUGCUUAGAACAGUGGAUAAUUGCUAUGCAAUAAAUUCUAGUUCUAAAACCUCUUUGGUUUGUAGUAGGGCUAAGCUUGAUAUUAUUGAGUCAUGGCAUAGGAGGCUAGAUCACAUAAACUAUAGACACUUGGUCCACAUAACUAACAAAGACCCAGUUAGAGGUAUCCCUAAGUUGAGUAGUCAACCUAAAUCUAUUUGUGGAGAGUGCCUAAAAGGUAAACAAGUAAGAAACUCACUAAAAAAUAUUCAAGGGAAUAACACUUCUAGGCCUUUAAGCCUUCUUCACAUGGAUCUCAUGGACCCUAUAUGAAAAGGGAGAGUAAAGGAUGUCGUUGAUUUUUCCAGGUAUUCCUUUGUAAGUUUUCUAAAGGACAAAUCUGAAACAUUGAGCACUUGAAGUCCUUGUGCACUAGAAUUCAGGUGGAAAUAGGUAAUCCUAUUGUUAGGAUUAAGAGUGAUAGUGGGAGAGAGUUUGACAAUGUAGAAGUUGAUCUCUUUUAUGAAUUAAAGGAGAUUAAACAUAAUAUUUUGCCUUUAGAACUCCUCAACAAAAUGGAGUGGUAGAAAGGAAGAACCGUGUUCUUUAAGAAAUGACCUGAGUAAUGAUUAACAUGCAUGAUACUUCUAUGCAGUUUUGGACUGAAAUAAUUAACAUGACUUGCUAUACUGCCAAUAGGGUUUUCCUUAGGCAUGGAACAAAGAAAACAUCCUAUAAAUUGUGGAUUGGAACAAAGAAAACAUCAUAUGAAUUAUGGAUUGGCAGUGAGUGCUAUAUUCUCAAGGAUAGAGAAAACCUAGAUAAAUUUAAUUCUAAGUCUAAUUUGGGUAUUUUCCUAUGUUAUUCCAAUAAAAGUAAAACUUAUAAGGUUUAUAAUCAGAAUACUAAAGUUAUCCAAGAAUCUUCAAAUGUAGUCAUCAAUGAUUUUGGAUAUGAUUAGGAAGUCAUUGACUUUGAAAGUUUAACCUAAAAAUCAAUUGGGAAUAACCUUGAAAAAGUUGACUUAGAUGAUAGUCUUAAAAGUAUCCUAAAGAGGUAAUUGACCCCAACAAGGAUGAAAAACCACUUGAAAUUGCUAAGUUGGGCAAAGUGGAAAGUAAACAUAAAUCCAGAGUACCCAAAAAUUACCCUAUCUCAAAUGUAAUAGGAAACAUGGAUGAUUCCAUGGUUACAAGGAGACAAUCUAGACAAAAUGAGAUAGAUUUUUUUUUUUUUUUGUUAUACCUCCUAAUUAGAUCUAAAGAAUGUAGAGGAAGCCUUAGGAGAUAAAUCAUGGACUACUACACUAUAGGAAGAAUUAAAUCAAUUUGUUAGGAAGAAUGUGUGGUACUUAGUCCCUAGGCUUAAAGACAAACCUGUAAUAGGCACAAAAUGGAUAUUUAAGAAUAAACAAGAUGAAAAUGGGUUCAUUGUGAAGAACAAAGCUAGGCUAGUAGUCCAAGGAUAUUCCCAAAUUGAGGGGAUUGAUUUUGAGGAAACUUUUGCACCUUUAACUAGGUUAGAAUCUAUUAAAAUCCUCCUAGAUAUUGCAUGCUCAUUGAGAAUGAAGCUUUUUCAAAUGGAUGUUAAAAGUGUGUUCCUAAAUGGGAUUCUUAGUGAAGAAAUCUAUGUUGAACAACCUAAGGGAUUUGCAGGUCCUAAACUUCCCAAUCAUGUUUAUAGGUUAAAGAAAACCCUUUUUGGAUUAAAACAAGCUCCUAGAGCUUGGUAUGAGAGGCUUACAACUUACCUUUUGGAAAAAGGGUUUGAGAGAAUGAGAGUUGAUAGAACUUUUUUUCAUUUAUAGGUCUAAGUCUAAAUUAUUAGUGGCUCAAAUUUAUGUUGAUGGUUAUAGUUUUUAGAGUCACCCUUACCCUUAACUUUGUUGUGGAUAUGAAAAAAGAGUUCGAAAUGAAUUUGGUAGGUGAACUCAAUUUCUUUCAAGGACUACAGAUUAGACAACUCAAAGAUGAUAUCUUUCUAUCUUAGUCUAAAUAUGAUAGGGAGUUAGUAAAGAAAUUUGGACUUGAGUCCACUAAACACUUUAGGAUACCCAUGAGCACCACUACUAAGCUUUGUAAGAACACAUUUGGGAAGGAUGUUGAGAAAAAGCUUUAUAGGAGUAUGAUAGGAAGUUUGUUAUAUCUUACUGCAAGUUGUCAGGACAUCUCCUUUAGUGUGGGAGUUUGUGCUAGGUACUAAGAAAAUUCCAAAGAGUUACACUUAACUUUUGUCAAAAGAAUCAUUCAUUACAUUAGUGGGACCUUAGAUUAUGGGUUAUGAUGUCCUUAUGAUUCCUCUUGUGUUAUUAUUGGAUAUUUUGAUAUUGAUUGGGUCGAAAAUGUAGAGGAUAGAAAAAGCACUUUUGGGGCUUACUUCUUUAUUGGGGAUUGUUUAGUCUCUUGGCUAAGUAGAAACAAAAUUUAAUUUCUUUGUCCACUGCACAAACGAAAUAUAUGGUCAUAGGAAAUUAUUGUACCUAACUCCUUUGGAUGAAACAGAUGCUCAGUGAGUAUGACAUUGAGUAGGGCAAUAUGAGUCUCCAUUGUGACAAUCUAGUGCUAUUAACAUUUCAAAAAUUUUUGUUCUUCAUUCUUGAACUAAAAAUAUAGACAUCUGUCAUCAUUCUAUUAAGGAUUUAGUUGAAGAUAAAGUCAUUUCUCUAGAGUUUGUCUCAAUGAAACAUCAAUUGGCAGAUAUUUUCACUAAACGCUUGGAUUCUCUUAGGUUUGAAUUCCUUAAGAAGUCCUUGGGUAUAUGACUAAUUGACUAAAAGUUAAAAGGGUAUAAACCUAAGGAUUUGUGUUUUUUUAUCUAUCUUCUUUCCUUUAGUCAAUCCCAUCUUCCUCUUAGAGCACUGGUCUUAUACCCUUUUUCAUUUGCCUUAUUAGUAAGAAUUUCAAUCUCUCAAGUUUUAAGUCUGAGUGAAAUAUACUAAACCUACAAGAGUUGAUUUUAUUUUCCCUAGAAUUUUUUUAAUUACUAUUGAGGUAAAGAAUCAAGGUAUAUAAAAAUCUUUGUAUAGUGGGAUAUCUAAAAAGAAAUAAUUGGCAAGUGAUCCAUGAGGAAUCUUCUUAAGUUUAACUAAUAAAAUAGAAUUUGUUUUUUUCUUUGGAAGUAAUAUCAUGCCUAAUUCUUUUUCAUUCACUUGCCUUGUUUGUCUAAGUUCUAUAUUAUUUUUUCCCAAAGUGUCUUAAGGCAUUCUUGGAUUCUUAGUUAAAAUAAACUAAAAUAUUAUUUCCAAGAUUCUUUCCAAGUUUAUAUACUUUCACUUGCAACAUUUGGAAACACCCUCCUAAGUGGAAUAAGACAACCAUAGUGAAAGUAUGAUUUCCAUAAAUGGUGUACAAUGCCUCCAUUUCUCGGAAAAAAAUAAAAUAAAAAAAUCAUGUUAUGAUUAAGGGGGAGUCAAAGUUGUGUUAUAUGUAGAUCAAAAAAUGCCAUGUCAAAUAGUCUGAUGAACUUAACACAAAUUGACUGAAUGUGAAUUUAUUGGAUCACGACAUGACUUAGUGACUUUUAGAAAUUCAAAUUCGAAAUAUGAAAUUAGACAGUAAGUUGUUUUCCCCUGAAAAUCAAUGCCAUUGAAUUCUCUUAGAUUCUUAUAUAUUUUGAUUGUUAUUCAUCUGAUUUCCAAACUAAGAUCAUGAUUAACCUUGUUCUUUAGAUUUGAAAAUAUCAAUCUUGUUUGGUUGAACUAUGUUUUUUGGGCAUUCUAUUUGUUUUAUUACUUUUCUUUCUAAUUUUGCGAGUUAUUUGAUUUGAAUCUUACUUUAAGUUGAAUUUUUGACCUAUUUCUAAGGUUUUUACAUGUCUCUAUGUUGUUAGUUGGUUUCUUAAUUUGUUUUGUUUUGUUAGUUCACUUUUAGCGUCCAUAAUCCUUCUAGAGUUUUUCACAUAGUCUCGAGCGUUUAUCCCAACGCUCAAGCAUUGGCUUCAUCGCUUAAGCGCUCAAGUGCCCUAAGUUUUUUCUAGUGUUGCUUCAUGUGGUUGUAUCACUCAAGUACUCCUUAAGUUACAUCCAACGCUUGACAUAGAUAUGAUCGAGAAGAAAAACAUCGGUAGGCAGAGAUAUAUCGGUAGAUUCAAUACUUGCAUUUUAAGAAUAAUAAAUAUGAAUUUUGGAAGUGCAUAAAGUUAGAAUUGAGUUAAGAAAUAUUUGAUUUUAUUAAAUAAAAACAAUUUAUGCAUAAAUAUAAUACAUAUGACAUUGCAAUAGUCCUUAGUACCAAAAUAAAGAUCAAUGUGGUUCCAUCAUAUUGUUAGAUGAAAGGAGCCCAUCUUGUUGAAGACAAUAUUUAUUUAAAAAAAUUUUAAAUAUUUUUAUUAAAACAUGUUUUAUUACAUUUUAAAUGAAAAAUUAAAUUAAUUUAUAUAAAAUAUUUUAUUUGAGAUUUAAUUUCUAAAAUUUUAUUAAAAAUAUGUGAUAACAACUUUUUCUAUUAACAUUAAUUUAUUUAAAUAAUUAAAAUUAUUAAUAAUUUAUCUUAUCAAAUUAAUUUUAAUUUAUAAAAUAUUAGAACUUUCUUAAUUUUUUAUAUUAUAGAAAUUUUUUAGGUAAAAUUAUAUUUUUAAUAUUUUAAAGUAAAAACAUUUAAAAUUUAAACAAAAUUGAAAGGAUAAAUGUAAAAAAAGAAAAAUUAAUAGUGAAGUGAUAAUAAUUUUUAAAAAUAAGAUUAAUGAGAUAAAUAUGAAAAGUGUUAAAAAUAAAAGGAUAAUAUAAAAUAAAAUGAUAAUAUAAAAACAUGGUUGAAAUUUGGACCAUCUCAAAAAUUCAAAUCUAGAAAUUUUCAAAAUUUUCAAAAGAAACCCCAAAAAAAUCCCCGAUUUUUCGAAGAUUUUUUUCCGUUCUCCCCCACAUCGCUCCACUCGCUAUUUAUCAGUUCCAGACCGAUAUAUCGCCGAUAUUUUGACAAUUUGCACGAUAUUUUUUUUAUAUUCCUCUCGUUCAAUAAUUAGUGCUCAAAAUCGUUUCGGGGCCAUCCGAUAUUCGAUAUAUCGGCGAAAUAUCGCCGAUAAAAACCGAAAUUUUAAUCCAUGCUCCUAGCACACCUUUUUGAAUCUAUUUCACUUCUUUAGUUCAUUUGAGCACUUUGGGUUGCUGCUUUUUGGCUUCUAGUGAUCUAUUCAUGGCUUGUUUCAUCUUUUCAUCUUCAUAGUAUUGUUUAAGACUGCUUUCUAAGCAUUUCUAAUGGUUUAGUUUCCUCAUAUAUUUUUCUCGAUUUUCGAGCUUUUUUACUUUUAGUUUUUGUAUGAUAUGUCAUUGUUGUCUUAGGGAGGUGUCUUCUCCGAAGCCUUACUCUCACGAAGUUGUUUAGGGCAUCCCUAUCUAGGGUCUUUUCGACUUGAAUAAUCUUCCAUUGGAGCAUUUUCACUCUAAGGAGGCUCAAGAUAGAUACUACUCUGUUCUCUAGAGUCAUCGAGUCAAGGUAGAGCUACCCAUUGAUCUUAGAGCCUUUAAGGACACCUCUUUCUAGGUUUCUUCCAUGUUAAGGGCUUGGAAACUCUUAUGACUGUUUGAGAGACCUCAUAUCCUCAUUACAUUCAGAUAUUCAAUUCAAACAUCAAUUCAAUAGUUUGUGGUCUCAUAUUUAGUGUCACCAUGUAUGGCUAGACCUUCAUGGUCUCUACUUGAUCUAUCAGGUGUGUUAUGGGCAUGUUUUUUCUUACUAAUCAGCUAGCUUUUAGUCUUCUUUCCUGAGGUUUAAGCACUCACUAGAGGUGAGCUUGCCACUAUUCCUGUUACUUUGUAUGACCAGUCCUAUCCGUUGUCGACUUACGUUUCCAUUGCUAACUUCACCAAGUUAGCUUGGGUCCUCACUAUGUUUAUGUCUUAUUCCUUCUACUCCUCCUUCCAUCGUACUUAGAUUCGUCACCUUGUGGCUUGUUUUAUUCAUACCAUUCUCUUUGGGUAGUAGUUCGACAUUGCCUAGGUGAUCCUUGACAUGAUGACAUCAUACCGCGAUCCCACCAUCCGCAGUGGAGCUCCCCUAUUCACCCUUCUUAUUACUAUGAUUCUGGAGCACAUCAGUUUCAAUUUCGAUCUUGCUUUGGUAGCUUGGGUGUCUCGCACUAUCAUUAAUGCGAGUUCCUGGGUUAAGCACUAUAGCCAUGUGUACGGUCGAUAAUCUCUCUGGCCUCAGCUCAAUCAACCUCCAUUCCUCUAACUUCAAUGUCAUAAGAGGUGGCUUAAGAGACCGCAAUAGAGAAGGAGGAGAUUAGGCCAACGGAGUAAGAUUUUCCCAUUUUAAAGGUGGUUUCAAGAUGGGGAAUAGGGCCCUUGUUUUCACCCGUCUCCAAUUCUGGAUCUUUAACAUUUGUUGACCUCAACCCUAAUUAUUUCUUCCAAUCUAUGCCCCAUUACAAGCAUUUUUUGUUAUCUCCUUAUCCCCACUUUAUGAUGGGCUUAGUCCAACACAAAUAGGUUGGUGAGUUAGUUAAGGUUUGUCUUAGAGGCCUAAAUGGACUAGACAUGAGCCUAGUUUUUUAUAACACCUACUAGUGGUGGGCCUUUGGCUCUUCUAUUGUAAGCUCCAAGGCUUCAUUGACAUAACAAAUGAUCAGGCAAAACCAUUUUAUAUUUUUUAUUGUUAGCUAUUAUAUUUUUACUUUUAACCAUAAGUAAGGAGAAAGAGGCUAGUUUCCUUGGCCUAAAAAACCCUUGUAUUCAAGCUUAUGAUCUAGGCUAGGGUUUCAAAAUUGGGCCUUCUAGCCAAGAAGAAUUUGGGCUCAGGGCGUUAGAUAAAUCAUAAUUAAUGUAUGAUUUUUGAUUUAUUUCUUUUAAGCAAGUUCAAAAUCAUUGAAUGUGAUAGAAAUUUAUUAGACCUGUGUGGAUUAACAUAAAAUGUUAGGAAAAAUAAAAGUGAGGAAAUGAAUUUAAAUUUUUAAAUUGGAUUUUUCAUGAAAAAUGUGAAGAAAAAUAAUAAAAUAUAAUAAAAAAUACCAUGAAAAUUUUCAAUUUUCAAAGUUUUCGUUCCUUUUAUAAAAGAAAUAAAUAAAUUUGGAGAUUUGUUUUAUAACUCUAAAUGUGAAAAGGGAAUAGAGGUGUUGAAAUGGUAAUCAAUAAAAACCUACAAAAUUUUCAAUAAAGUAUUUUACAAAAUAAGAAUAAAAAUAUAAAAAAAAAUUACAAAAUAUUGGUAGUUGGAUUUUAUGAAAAUAUUGAAAAAUAUUAUAUAAAAAUUCCUAAAAAAUUUUUAUGCAAUCAAAAUUGGCCAAAACCCAUAACAAGAAAGGAAAACCCACCUUUUUCUUUUCAAUCCUAAACUUCAAAUACUCAAAUUCAAUUUUCAUACAAAAUUAAACUAAAUAUAUUUUUAGAAAUUUUAAAUAACUCUUGUUUUAGAAACUAGUUAAACUACCUUCAUGUAGUAUAAUUUAAAUUAAAAAAAAUGAAUUUACCAUAAAUUAAUGAAAUUAUCAUUCUCAAAAAUUUAAUAUGACUAAAAUAAAUUUUGUUUUUUUCUAUUUUUUCUCUUCUUUUUCAAGAAAAUUUAGAUCUAAAACUUUCCCAUGAAAUGAUAACUCAUAAACCACACCAACAAUAUAAAAGUGAAAUCAAUAUAUACAAAAUAAAUCCGCAAAUUUCAAAAUCAUAAAACCAAAAUUCUAUCAUAUUUAACUACUAUUUUAAACUUAAAUUUCAAGGUUUUUAAUAAAAUUUUACCUCAAUGAAAUAGUGAUUUAAUUUUUUUUUUUACUUUAAUAAAAAGUUGUUUUUUCCUCGGUUAUCUUUUCCAUCUUCAACUUUAUUAUAAUACUCAAAUCUAAUUUUUUUUAUACAAAAUUAAACUAAACUUAUUUUUGAAAAUUUUAGAUCACUCUUGUAUAAAAAACUACUUAAACUACUUUAAUAUUAUAUAACUUGAAUAAAAAAAAUGAAUUUAUCAUAAAUUAACAAAGAUAUAAUAAAAAUAAAUAAAUAUGACUUAAAUAAAUUUUAUUUUUAUUGACAUUUUUUGACAAAACCAUAACCUUUCAAUAGCCUGAUUGUGUUGGACCAAGCCCACCUUAAAGUGGGCGUGUAACAGUAAGGAGAUAAUAAGAAAUGUCUGCUACUCAACCAAUAGGGAGAGAUGGUGCCAACUUAUAUUGUGUAUUCCAUUGUACUGGAUUAUUGGUCUUUGACACUACUUUGAAAGUUUAUUUUUGGUGUUUUUUAGUCCUUUUUAGAGUGUAGGAUCAGUAAAAAAAAAAUUGCAUGAAUUGAAUCUUUGUUGUGCUCUUAAUUCAUGCAAGAGAAUGACAUCUUGUGGGAUGAGAAUUCUUUGAUCCCUAAAUUUUUUAUAUCACAAGCAACCAACAAACAAAUUCCAUACACCAAUGUUUUAAAAACGUGACCAGCCAAUCAAAUUAGUUGGCUCUACUCGAUUUGGAUAUGAUCUUGACGAUUGGUAAACUAGUGGAACCAACUAGGUUUGGAACCGGUCUUGAUUUUUUUCCAUUUAGGUUAGACAAAAAUUUUGGAAAAAAUCAAUAAAUAGAGAUGAUGUUGAAAUUUUAAUAAAAUUAUCAUUUAUAUUUAUGUUCAACUAUUUUUCGUUAUAAUAUAGUUAUAGAAUGUAGUUGCAAACUAGAAGAAUAUAGUUGGAGGAAUGGUGUAUGCUCUAGUGGAUGGUGUCUCACACUCAAUUCCCAUGGAUAGAGGAGUAAGAGUCAGAGACAACAAAUGGAAUUGGCACUAAAACGGGUUGUGAAUUUGAUUGAGAAAUAACUAGUCUCAUGAUAGACAAAGGAACGACUAUGCUAAGAAGAAAUGGGGUUUUGUCACGGUUCUUUGUAGGUUGAUGAGUUCUUCGGUCUAACAUGUGUGAUUUUCUCACUUUUGAAACUUCAUUUUUGGUUUUGAUCUAUUUUAGAGAAGAUAUGUGACACAAUCCAAAAUGGGGUUACAUUGUCUCUUGCUUUUGGCUGUUGUUAUCAUUUGUUGCCUUCAUAUGGUAGAAUGAUGUUUGUCAACUAAAACUUCUAUGACCAAGUUUGAAUUUGAUACAUGGGUGGAGCUGAUUUGUUUAAAUAUUCAUGUUUUGGUGAAACAAGUCAUUUUAAUUGAGCAAAAAAUAUAUACAAUGUAGAAGAUGGAUAAAAUUAAGUUAAAUACUUACAGAAAAUUAAGAUUUUAAGACUCUUCAAUUUAAUAAAAGUUUUGUUGUACUAAGUAUUAUGGGUUAUGCAUUCAAUUUUGGGUAGAAGGAAAAUACUAUCCAAACAAGGCCUACAUAUAAUCUAAAGCAUUCUCAUCCUUAGGAAGCCUAGGGAAUGGAUUAGAUUAAAUAAGUUAGCUCAAAAGUGAUGUAAAAUGUGGGUAUGUUGUAUAAAAACACAUAUUUUCUUCUUGUUUUUCACCAUUCAAAAAGUUAUGAUUUGCUUAAUUUUAUUGAAAAAAAAAAAACCAUACUAAGUUUUUUUUCCCAAUUAUAAAUUUUAGCCACUUUUUGUCAAAAUUAACCAGAAUUCUGUAGACACCAAAAAGGGGGGAAAAGGUCAUAGAUUUAGGUUAAUAAAGAAAUAUAGUUUGGACAAAUAAUUAAAAUAUCUUACAUUGGUCGAUCAUCAUAUCCUACUCAAAUUUAAUAAGGUAGUGGAAACAUAACUAAUAAUUAUAUUUUCAAAGAGAAGUUGAAAAUUUGAAAUUGGAAAUUUCUUCUAUUCAUUUUUAAUAUUUUUUAGGGGCUACUAUAAAUUUUAUCCACAAAGGGAUAACGUACUCUUUUUUUAGUAGUUAAACAAGUUAUAACCUUUGAGAAUCACUAUUGAUCUUAAUAAAGGUCCUUUUUAUAUCAAGAAAUUUCUCUUUGAAUAAAUUAAAAGAGAAAUCUUGCUUUUUAUUGCAACUGUAAUGAAAUUCACUUUCAAAGCUUGUAAUUAUACAUAGAGCAUAUAAAGAUCUACAAACAAAAUUUAUUACCUUCGCAGGUGAUCUUUGGCAUAGGUUGCUCUUCCUCUCAACAACCAUUUGACAAUUUUAUCCACAAAAUCAAAGUAGGUCUCACACCAAGAUUUCCUUGUUGCCAAAACAAAAUAUGGAACUAAAAUACCCAUCGCAAAUCCCAAGCCAACACUCAAGUAAAACCAUUGAUCAAUAUAACCACCAUCAUUUUUGUCCUCAAUAGCACUAUACUUUUUAUCUAGAUCUUCAUCUUGGCAUUUUGUGACCAAUGGAGCUCCACAAAGAUUAGGGUUUCCAAUAAAGGCCGACUCAUUGAAGGUUGACAUUUGCCCUAUAAAGGGGAUCUUACCAGAGAAAUUAUUAUUCGAUAGAUUCAAAUAACUCAAGAAUGUUAAUGAAACCAUGCUUGAAGGAAUGCUGCCGGAAAGCUUAUUCCUUGACAAAUCAAGAGAUAAUAACUGGUGCAA
rnacentral:lncRNA from 1 species